CAACCGUAGUCUCAUUCUAACCUUGGUAAGGAUGAUCUACUGUUCUAUUGGGGAGGCUCACGGAAUCUAGACAACACAAAGGAUGUUCGAACCGCACCUAUAAACCCUACCCGUCCUGCUAACAAGAUAUGGGAUACAAAGGUAACUCGAAAAUGUCACGUUCCUCGCUACUACCACGGUCCAGCUAGUCAGGGGAUAUCUAUGAGUACCCUAGCCUAAACACCACGUUUACACCAGCAAUGAUUACUCUAAUACUCAACCGGAAGAGGAUUAAAGUAAACUCAUAAACUAAAAAACAAUAAAACAAGAACUUACUAGUAUUAGAAGUCGAAUUACUGAAGAAUCUUAGAAGCAAGCCUUGGGUUAGAAGACUCGAUCCCGUAGGUACAACUUGGAGUAGACACCGAUAGGCCGGCCUUCCUCCGAUCCACACCUCCACUCAAUCUCUCUCAAUCUAGUAGAAACUAGAAGAUCUAUUUCUACUUUACAUUGGUUGCUAAGCCUAAAAAGAAAUAUUAUUUAGAGAAGAGGUUUUCCUUCGAGGGCACCCCUCAAUCUCUAUGAUAAUUUCUUGUCUUCUCCAGGGACCAGGGGGGUCUCCUUAUAUAGUCCUCCUCCUCUAUGCAUUUUUGGUUCAGCAGGCGAUGUGGUACUAAACUUUCCACCAUAUCUCAUUAAAAUACACAUAGGCCUUCUUGGACCAAAAUCUGAUUUGGGCCCAAUUAAUCCCGCAGCUCUUUUAUGUGGAGUACUUCUUUUAUUAAUAUCUCUUGAUUCCGAACUCCAAAUAUAGCAAAUAAUAUAUGCAUUUCGAUCAGCUCGGCGAGAUCUUUGUAAUGGUAUAUUCCAUUCUGUGAUUGGUGGAAACACCUGGGCGGGCGCCCAAGGGGAAAGGGCGGGCGCCCUGCCCCCGGGCCCGUUCGGCCUCCCGUUCGUUCCCGUGGUUUCUGGACUCCUCUAAAUAAUAGAAAAUUGUGCGGCACGUUAAUAUCUCUAUGUAAACCCGACAUGUGGGCCUUUCUUCCUUAUUUCCUGAUAACCCCAUGCAGAAAUAGACAAACACCAAAACUCGUGGAAUUCUGUCAGAUAAAACCCUACGUCUAGAUGUUGAUUUCAUUUGGAUCCUUUUCUUUGUUUAUUUGAUAAUUAAAUUUAAUACUUAAGGACCAUCAACAAACUCCCCCAAGCUUACCUCUUGCUCGUCCCUAAGCAAGGAUGAACUCAAGAGUUUCUGCAGUGGUUUCAUGCCUUAAAAGGACACACGCAUUCAAGCAAGAUCACAUCUCUGAGUUAGAAUAAACUGUUAAGACUUAAAACUUACUCAUUUUACCUUUCACCAUGGGGCUUGUAACCGUAACUUGUGUCUUGAGCAGUUAAAAGAUAGAACGGUCAAGUCAACCGCUAUGUCUCUUAUUCUUGAUCAGCUAUAGCUCUGGGGUUUUUUGCAGAUUUUCAAAUAAAACUCUGAGAUUCCUUAUAUGACUCUCUCAGAUCUCUCUUUUGUGGUAUUUCUGGAUCCUUACGAAGGCAGUAAUGGUAUAUGCCUUCUCUCAAAGUAUGUGGUAUUUGUGGUAUGAGGCAUAGUGAUAUUGUCUUCUCUCUCACCCUACUCUAAUAAGGUUCUGAUAUCUGGAGCUCAUAGGUGGGAGGCAGCUAAUGAAUGGUGUAUGGUGAUGAUGGUGAUACUGAUGGUGGAAGUCUAAUUCUACUUUUUCUCUUUUAAGGGGAUACAUACCUUUCUUGCACUUUGAAGCUUUUUGGGGAGAAUGAGAUGCUCUAUAUUUUACUUUUCUUUCCUCUCAGGUGGGUAUCUUGUACCCCUAAUUCUACUGUCGGACACUUGUCCAUUUUUACCUCUCGUCUCACUUUUUCUUUUCUUCGAGGUUCCGGGCACUUGCCCCUUUUUAUUUCCUCGUAUAUAUUUUUUUUUCUUUUUUUUAGAGCACUUAUCUCCUUAAAUAAUAUAGCAAGUGGUAGUAACCAAGAUAACUCGAGCAUUUAUUUCACAGGGAAUAACAGGGAUAGGAUAAUAUUUUUGGCUAUUCUCUCCCAGAUUAGGAGUAGAAUAAUUUUGGGUGAAUCUGGAGAUGGAAAUGAGUGGAUAUAUGUGGAUGGUACUUCCGGAGUAGAAGUAGCAUGUAUGAGUGAACGUGCAAGUGAAUCUUGAUUUUAACCACAUGACAAGCUCCUAAGGGUCUACACAGUAAAAAGUAAAUAUGUGGCUCAAAGUCUAGCAAGCAUGUAUAUAUGGCUGUGGUAGGAAUUUAAACUCUCAUCAUAUAGGAACUCAUCAUGUGUUAUUUUAAAGAUUUUUCAAAGAUAAAAUUCUCCAGAAUUCUAGCAUCUCUAGGAACAGAUAAACAGCAGCUCAACCUUCCCAUAUCAUAUCCGUUAACGACUUAGACUUUUAGAUCAAGUACUCUUCCCACGAGUUUAGAUUUAGAGCAGGUUUAAAUUAUAACAGUCAUGCCUAAACUUGAGAGAGAUUUCAAUUUUAAGAACUAGUCAUGGCAGAGCAUCUAUUCAUCAUUUCCAUGUGAGAGUUUAUCAUGAGGGUUCAUAGCAAACUUUAUUUAUUUAUUUAUUUAGCAAACUAAGCAAAGAUAUAUAUAUAUAAAAGCAGAAAAUCUUUAUUUGGGUUUUCAUGAUUAUGCAUCUUUUAUUAUUUGAGUAAAGUAUAAACGCGAGUAGAAAUACUUAGCUGGAUAAAUGGGGGUGCUCUCCCACAAGCUGGAUUUUGACGUAAUUUCUUCUGAUGUAGCUAGCAGGUGAUGGAGGUGUAUUUGAAAGUCGGCAGCACCCUGACAGUGAUUAGGAUGUCCUCCGUCUGCUAGUCUUCUUUGAUCCUUGAAUUCUAUGGAGCUCAAAUAGACAACAAAGCUUUAUGGAACUAGUUAAUUGUUAGCAUAAAUAUCUAGCCUUUAUCAUGUUGAGCCUCCUCAAUAAAUGUUAUUUAUUUAGCAGGAUCAUGCACUUAUUAUUUUUAUAUUUUUAUUGUAAGAUGAAAACUUAUUUAUUUUAUUUGUUUAUGCCACCACAGUGAAUGUACUUAUGGGUUUUAUGCCAUGAGCAUACUCAUAUGGGGCUUACUAUUUUUUUAUUUUCUUUUCGAGAUGAUAUGAACCUGAUUAACUAAGCAAACUAUAAUUGAAUAAUUAAAAGGAAAAGGAUAACUACCAAGUUUACCUCUUGGCAAGGCGUUCGGUGUUUUUAAGUCCUCCGAACGGGACUUCUUGUGUUUUCAGUCGUCCUGGGAUUCGCUAGGUGGUGUAGUCGGUGGUUCCGGCGGCGCCUCCUCUUCGUGUGUAACUAUCUUCUCUCUCCACACCUGACUCGGUGCUACAGUCUCCUCAGGACAGUUCUGUUCAAGCUAUAUGUCUUCAGACCUUAUCACUUCUCCUUCGUAGUCUACCCAUCCGUUCUUGAUGAUUUGCCUCCUCUAGUUACGGUUGUGUUAUCUUCUUCUUGUCCUGACCUGUUUAGAGUCUUCAACUAUAUAGUUAGGGUCAGUAAAAUAGCUGCGUACCUUCUCAGAGGGGAAGUGUAUGUGGACUUCUCCGGUUCCAAUAUAGAUGAUGGCUUUGAUAGUGUUGAGGAAUGGUCUUCCAAGGAUGAUGGGUGGAUCGUACUCGUCUUCUCCCAUAUCAAUGACAUGAAAAUCAUCUGGAGCUGAAUAUAUUGGUUGUAGGGGCAUGGUUCCAUGCAGGAGCUGAUAAGUGACUGCGGCCAUUAUGUUGUCGUCAGAUUUGGUGUUGUAGAGUGUCUUCUAAAAAAGUAUCUGUUGAUUGUGCACUCAAUGCUUGGAACACCAGGGUCGUCCUUCUUGAUCAAGAAAGGUGACUUGAGUCGACGAUCUUGACCUCCUUGAGCUGCAGUGACCAUCUUAGCUGACUCGGUCCACAUUUGCUUGUUCAUGUUCCUCCUGUUGGUCCUCUUCCUCGGUUCAUGUCGGGAUUGCUCUGAAAUUUGUGUAGUCUUGUUCUUGAAGGAAAGUCUCCUUCUCCCCCUUGAUGUAGAAACGGAUCUUGGCAGCAUUAGCGUAGAUGAUAGCUCUAGUGUUUAGGAAUGGCCUCCCUAAGAUGAUGGGUGCCCUCUCCUCAGUACCAGUCUCUAUCACCACGAAGUUUGCUGGAGCGUACAAGGUACCAACUCGGACACAAAGGUUCUUCAAUAUUUCCUUUGGGAAACUAAGUGUCUGAUCUCCAUUGUGUUUGUGCUCGUAGUUCCCGGUUCUUCACUUGGUGGAAUCUGGGAGUUGUAAAACUCCUCCAGGUUUUGUUUGAAGUGUACCUAUUCAUAGAGACAAGGCAGAGAUCAAGUGCAUGGGCCCUGUUGGUGAAAAACACCAACAGAACCAAAAGUGUAUUUGUUCUUUUCUAACCUUAAGCAUAGUGAGCAAGACAAAGUUGAUGGAUCAUAAGUGUAGCAUUUAAAACAUUAGUUAGAUCAGAUGGCUCAACCUAAUGGAAAGAUAAUCUAUCUAUAUUUAUGUUUUGUUUAUAUCUUCCAAAGAUUGAAUGCGCAACGUUUUAGCUUAUAUGAUUAGGAGUGUGGGAUCACGACGGUAGUACGUAAGAACAAAGAUUAAAGGACUAAACAUGUUGAAUUAAUUGGGUUGAUUAAUUUGGAGCUACAAAUCAUACAUGUUUGUCUCUUUAUUUUAUAUGAAUGCCAGAACCAAGGAGAAACUUAUAAAAGCGAUAGUCAAGUACCUUAUGAUAUUACCUUAAUUGAAGAGUGAUGGUAUAGUAUCACCUUGUGGAAGCUUUCCUUUCUUAGCGGUUGUGCAUCGUGUUUGUGGCACCCUCCAUGGAUCAUCUCUUUAUGAUGAAUGAGCUAUGUCUUUCUUGUGCAAAUUGUUAAACUUCAUGUGUCUCCUUUAUCUCCAAUGAGUUUGUAUCUCCGGACUUCCCAGGUUGAUAUUGAAAGUUUUCCUGCAGGGGUUAGUCCAACAAAAUAUACGAAUGUCUACACAAGUAGUUUUUAGUUCAAUAACUGAACUAGACUCCAUGUCUAAUCAGACUAAGGAAGGCUGUUUAACCUAAGCACCAUGCUUAAUUUAAAAGCCAAUAGAAGUAUGUGUAGUACUUCCAAACUAACACUUACUAGAAUAUACAAAGGUAGCGUGAUGGUAUUUGUAGAGAUCUACUCAAGUGGAGAUGAAGUAGUGUGAUUAGUAUUUAACAAAUUGAGCAUGUCUCAAAGGUAAGGACAACCAACAUAGCAACAUGACAAAUGAUGUUUUUAUGUAAAGUAUUUCCCCCAAGCUUGAAUUUUGGAAAAUUCAAGUUUGGAUGAAUUUAAUUCAAUGUUGUGUGAUGGUUGGUUGGACAUACCUUGUGCUCGUCAUUCAUCUGAUCUUCUUGCUCCAAUCUUGGAAAGGUUAGUGGCAAGAAUACCCGAAGGAAUAUUUCUACAAUUAUCUUUAUAUGCUCAAUACACAAGGCAAUGUUGCAAAUAAUUAGAAGUUCAUGUUACGAUCUGAUAAGUGCUUGUUUAAGGACGCUAAGCUUUGGGAAACCAUCAAUUUAUGUAAGUGAAGUGGUUUCCCCUCCAACGCUGACCUAUAUCGAGAUCUGCAAUAUUUAUUAUAGACAUAUGCAUCGACAACCGCUCUUUUAAAGUUUUUAUAAAUAUAAAGGAGGAGGGGGUUGGAGAUCUCAAAUGUGGUAAGGAUGGAGAGACCAAUUGAUUGGGGAGAUGUUUUAUAUGAGCAAGGACUUGGUAAGGUAUUUAUGAAAUAACUUCCAUGCUCACUGUUGUUUCUCUCAUUCUCAAACUCCAAGGAUGAUUCUUCAUGAAUGCUUAAAAUUCCUCUAGGGUUGUCUCUCAAGUUUGUUUUAUCUAUCCAUUCAAUGGUGAUAGCACAUGGAUUUUUAAUGCCCUCUAGCCAUUGAUGUUGCUCUUCUCGAUCCUCCUUAUGCAUGGGAUGUCUAGAGAGAUUCAUAGGAUUAUCGGGAGGUUCAAGAGAAAGAGCAUAGUAGAAACUAUUAAGCUCAAGGAUGGGAUGGAUAGCCGAAUCAUGGGAUUGAAAUGUUUGGAAAUUGGCUAUUGAAACUUCCUUUCCACGUCUGGGAGAUGAUUCCUUCUCUAUCUCUAAGAUUUUUCUAUGAAGACUAGUACAAGAAGGAUGUCCACGAAUGAAGACAUACCUUCCUUUACUAAUAGAUAAAGAAAGAAGAACUCUACCAAAGGUUAUAUGAUUAAGACCAAUGUGAAAAUAUCGAGAAAAAACAUGGUCUUGUAGGGCUAGGUCUAAACCAGAAUUUAUAGAAAGAUUAAAAGAUUCCCUAGGUGUAGCUAAAAGUGCAUUAUCUUCUUGAUUAAAAGAUAGGACCUCGGCUAUAGAAAAGGGUUGGUUUUGACCUAUUGCAAUCAACUUCGGACACAGAUCAUAAUUAGGGGCAGGACGUGUUGACUCCCAUGGUCUAUGGCUGGUCUCCGAAGGUGCAAAGAAUUUAAUAAUAGGUAUGGAAUUUGAGUUAUCCAUAAAGAUAAAAAUAAAAAGAUAAAAGAAUAAAAGUAUAAAAGUAUAAUACAAGAUAAUAGCAAGACUCAAAGUUAUCUCAGCAAACCGUCUUUCUCCCCGGCAACGGCGCCAGAAAUGCUUGUUGAUAUUUGGUAACGCAAUUAGAAAAUGAUCCGCAAGCGCACGGAUAUCGGUGAGCAUUUCACCCGGGAGGUUUUCCAGAGUAUCGUAUUUAUAUUUUUACCACUGGGAGAAAGGGUGCAUCUGACUAACCAAAUCUAUUGCUACUACCCCUUUAGGCUACAAAGAAUGUCUCUCGAUGUGAGUGAUGUAUAGAGAAGACUGCAACCGUAGUCUCGUUCUAACCUUGGUAAGGAUGAUCUACUGUUCUAUUGGGGAGGCUCACGGAAUCUAGACAACACAAAGGAUGUUCGACCCGCACCUAUAAACCCUACCCGUCCUGCUAACAAGAUAUGGGAUACAAAGGUAACUCGGAAAUGUCACGUUCCUCGCUACUACCACGGUCCAACUAGUCAGGGGAUAUCUAUGAGUACCCUAGCCUAAACACCACGUUUACGCCAGCAAUGAUUACUCUAAUACUCAACCGGAAGAGGAUUAAAGUAAACUCAUAAACCAAAGAACAAUAAAACAAGAACUUACUAGUAUUAGAAGUCGAAUUACUGAAGAAUCUUAGAAGCAAGCCUUGGGUUAGAAGACUUGAUCCCGUAGGUACAACUCGGAGUAGACACCGAUAGGCCGGCCUUCCUCCGAUCCACACCUCCACUCUAUCUCUCUCAAUCUAGUAGAAACUGGAAGAUCUAUUUCUACUUUACAUUGGUUGCUAAGCCUUAAAAGAAAUAUUAUUUAGAGAAGAGGUUUUCCUUCGAGGGCACCCCUCAAUCUCUAUGAUAAUUUCUUGUCUUCUCCAGGUACCAGAGGGGUCUCCUUAUAUAGUCCUCCUCCUCUAUGCAUUUUUGGUUCAGCAGGCGAUGUGGUACUAAACUUUCCACCAUAUCUCAUUAAAAUACACAUAGGCCUUCAUGGACCAAAAUCUGAUUUGGGCCCAAUUAAUCCCGCAGCUCUUUUAUGUGGAGUCCUUCUUUUAUUAAUAUCUCUUGAUUCCGAACACCAAAUAUAGCAAAUAAUAUAUGCAUUUCGAUCAGCUCGACGAGAUCUUUGUAAUGGUGUAUUCCAUUCUGUGAUUGGUGGAAACACCUGGGCGGGCGUCCAAGGGGAAAGGGCGGGCGCCCUGCCCCCGGGCCCGUUCGGCCUCCUGUUCGUUCCCGUGGUUUCUGGACUCUUCUAAAUAAUAGAAAAUUGUGCGGCACGUUAAUAUCUCUAUGUAAACCCGACAUGUGGGCCUUUCUUCCUUAUUUCCUGAUAACCCCCUGCAGAAAUAGAUAAACACCAAAACUCGUGGAAUUCUGUCAGAUAAAACCCUAAGUCUAGAUGUUGAUUUCAUUUGGAUCCUUUUCUUUGUUUAUUUGAUAAUUAAAUUUAAUACUUAAGGACCGUCAACAUCCUCUCGCUGACUGAACAGCUUGAGCACAGCCACCAUAGCACUCAUAGCAGGACUAGAACUCACAGCUCGCUCUCCCCUGCCCCGGACCAACGCACAACCAUCAGCCUGCUUCCACUCCGCUGCUGCUAGAUCAGCACGGGGAAUGGAGGCCGCUGGUCCUCCUGUCAGCUCAUCGCCAAACCUCUGACAGAUAUUGAGCAGCAUAGCCUGGGCUGCAAUCUGAGCUGCUUCCCAAGGAGUCUGCCCAUCUGAGUUACAGGUCCACCCUGUCCAUGCAGGCCUGCCCCCAUGUGGUGGGACAACUCCCUGCACAGCAAACCACUGCAACUCUCCGAUCAAUCCACCUCCCACCAAGAAUACUGAGGUGGCUCAGUAUACCUCACAGACUGUAGCACUCUCCAUAGCAAGGUAGGAGUGCCAAACUCGCUCAAGAAAGUGUCACUAGGGCGAGGUGAAGCGGGCAUGUCCAUCUGUGGAAAGGAAUAGGAAUACCAUGGGUAAGAGAAGAUUAAUUUAAGCAACAUUUAUUUAAUUAAAAGGGACGACAUGGUAAGGUAAGGAGUAGACAGAAUGUAUGUAUGAAUGCGACAUGAUGCAUGCACGAACUGUACGUCCUCACAAACAUAGAAAAUUAAUAUUCUAACGGAUAUACGGUGGCAUACAUUCGUCUCUCGAUAUGAUAACUAGCGAAUUACACGUGCGCUGUUAGAGUACCUGCAGAAAACUUCAUUGCAGCCCAACAGUUCCCAAUGUAUCACUCAAGAAAGCAGUAAACUAAGUGCACAUUGCUUGUACAUGCUCAACAUGCACCAACAAUGACACCACAGCUACCCGAGAAAUUAAAUGCUCCCCAAUUAAGUUUCUUUCAUGGUUCCAUGGUUUUGACAUGUAACCACUCCAGAAAACCACCGCGAACACUCCCCUAGACUACUGUUUGGACGAUCAUACUCUCACAGCUCACACUUACCAGAGCGUAGGUGCGACGUUGCAUAAUUUAAAUCUAGCGACAUAUGUGGCUAGUUCACAUAUGAAGGCUAUCUCUACCAUUAGACCACAGGGUAGCAUAGUGCGGUCAUCACACAUCCAUACCUGAGUACUGCCGGAGAUGCAUAAAUAAAACCCCCCAAGUCAGUACUUAAAUAGCCACCUAUAGUCCUUAUAUGGGCAAGGAGGAUUCGACCACUGGCAUAUCUUAAGUAUUUGAUUUACACCAUUUUGUUUUGAAACUCUUUUGUUUUUAAAUACACAAACGCUGCAUUUAUAAUGCUGAACUUGCUCCGAUGCCAGCUGUCACAGAACUGACCAAAUUAUAAGAGUUCAAGUGUAGAAACGAUCGACAAGCAAUCAAGUUUCCAAACUUGAGCCCAUAUAAUCCCGGUAGUCAACUGAAAUCACGAAGGACUUCAAACCAACUUGUAACAAACCAAGAUCGUAAUAGUUCAACACAACACAGCGAAUGUUACAUAGUCAUUCAUUGCCGUCGAAGCGGCACCACAUCGGAGUUACUUAGUUAUUACAACCCAUGUUUGAAGGAGCGGAAGCAAAAUAAUUACACACACUGUCCAAAGUUCAUUUCACAAGUUCUAGUUCAUCCAGGGUCUCAUGCCAUCCAUCCAAAAGCAGCAGAUACGAAGUAGUUAGAGAACCGUGCCCAACGGUUAGUCCUCAUCCCCAGCGGGAUGGAGACAGGUCUUGCAGAAGCCAUCAUAACAGAUAUCAUCUGCAACAGGUGGGAAUAAACCCUGAGUACGGGAUUGUACUCAGCUAGACUUACCCGUCUAGUAAAACAUAAAAGGCACCAAGGAUCAUGCAAGGCUAAUAUCAAGUGGAGCUGGUUGACUCAACCAUUGCAAAAAGCUUAAAUUAUAACUACAAUGUUGUGAGAGCAUCAUAUUAAUCAUCAUCAGCCUACCACUAGAUUAGCACCUGUACUACAGCACUUCACUUGAUUAUUACGAACAAUAAUAACCAUAUCGAAUUCAUCAUAUGUUCUUCCUUGCUAUCAUCAUUAUCAUGAACCAAGCUUAUUAGUGAAUGCUACGUUUGCCGCUGCUCUAUCAAGUUCUCACUAACCGGGAGAGAGGGCAAUUCGAAUCGAAUUCCUAUCCAGCUGGAGGGGUAUUCCUAGCACUCACCCAACCAUCCCCCGUCGGAGAGCCAAUGGGUCACCUUUGGUACGACUCAGGAAUCGCGGCUCCGAUCAGCGCCGCACUCCUAGGGCUACCACUAAGCCAGGGAGGUCAGGAAUUUUAACUCACCUGCCUUUGGGCUUACGCCAAUGGUCCCCCGCACACCGCACUUCCUCCGGUAGUGCGCACUUUAUACUUGCCGGUCUUCCGGCCUGAGUCAUACUACUAGGCUUCGCGGUCGGAACGAGUUAUCCGGCCAACUAAGUGUUAGGCAUGCGUUCAACAUAUCAAGAGGACGUACAACGGUCAGUCCUUAGCUGCCACAGACGGAGUUACUAUAACCUUGCAAAACUUCGCCCGGCUUAAGUCCAUUUAAUCUGGUUCCAUCCAUGAUAGCACAUAUAGUCCAUCGUAACCAACAUAACCCUAUAUCGCGCAGGUGACAGGAAAUCACCCGACUUCUACCGAUUAAAGCAUGACUAAGCUGCUACUCGUUCCUAACUCUAUAACCAGGUAGUGGUAAGAUAUCUGGACAAGGAUUGAGUAAAAUGCAGCAAAGGUUUCAUCACAACUCUUAUACUUAAAUGCAUCAAUAGAUAUAACAUAUUCAAGUAAACUUUCGAAAGUAAAGGGAGACUUAGGAUGCUCCGGGGCUUGCCUUUCAGAAACGAGGCUGGUUCGUGGUUCGGGCACUCAAUGUCCUCUUCAGGCUCCUCGAGUCCGACUUGCUGGACCUCCACCUCUGGGUUGCCCUCCUGGCCUUCGGGGUUCACUUGAAGCUCGAAGGAGGCGGUCGCGUCCGAUGCACCUAUUGCAUGCUCGAUGAAUAAGAAGGUGUGCAUACUAAAGAAUGAAUGCUUGAUAACAUAAUUAGACUCACUGGACACUUAUUUAUGGAAUAACUAUUAUAACAAGUUCACACAAGAUGAUAAGUUAACUUAGCCAAAACCUACCAAGUUACUACAACAGCAAGCAUCACAUAACAGAAUUAGCUCAGUAAACAAGUCAUAACUAAUGUUAGACAGAUCCAACAGCCAUGAGUGAGGACAUUCCGGAAAGCUUAUGAAAUUUUCUGCAAACCAUCUUUAAACAUCACAGCAAGAUUCAUAAGUUAAACAAGCCUUAUGAACAAAGUUCCAGGUUCUGUCCCAUAAAAACAGAGAAUACCUAUUUCUGGAACCCAACUUGGAACAGCCAUAGCUUCAAAACUACUGGACCAAAUGAUCCCAAAUUUAAACCACAGCUAGCCCAUAAAGUUUACAACAACUUUGAUUUAGACAAGUUUCCCAGAAAACCAAAUUAUCAACGAGCAAGGAUUGAAUUACUCCCUUGCUGUCCAGAACAGCUUUUAACCCCUUUAAUUAAUUAUUUGAUGACAUAGCCAAAACAUAAUCAGUAUCAACCACAUGGCUGAUAAGCACAAGCAUAUCAUAAGACCACCAGCACAACAUAUGUUAACUCCAAAACACUUAAUAAUAAGGCAUUUAUUAAUUUAAUUCUAUAAAGGAGCAUGAUUACAAGAUACUAGUAAAAGUGCUCAGAAAAAUUUACAAAAAUUACAGAAGCACAAGCAUAGCAUCAUGACAUCACCAUAUUUGGAUCUCAGAAACAGAAGAUAUGAGUUUUGCAAGAAAGCCAAAAAUCUAGAUUUGAAGAAAAGAAAGGAGGAGACCGUUGAGUCACUGACAACGGGUCCCGCGCGUCAACGACACAGAGAACAGAGAGGACACCUUCACCGGCGAAUGCUCGCCGACGGUGAGCUACUCCGGCAGAUCCAAGGGCACCAGCAUGCUCCUGGAGUGAUUCCGCAUCGAUGGAGGUAAGUGGCGCUAGGGUUUCAGCUACGGAGAGGGGUCGUCGUCGGCCAUGGCGGCACGGCGGAGCUACCCCGGCUUACGCCGGCCAUCUCCGACCGGUAGGGCGUCGGGGAAGGGCGGCUUAAGCACUAGUGAGUUAGCGCGGAGCUUUCUAGGUAGAAACGCCUAACCCAAACGGCUCCGGUGAGCCUGCUCACGUGCGAGGUGCUCGUCGGCGGUGAGCACGGCGGUGCGGCGGCCGUGUUCCCGCAUGACGGUGAUGCCUCAGCCGGAAUGGCGUGGCGUGGACCGACGCCAAGACCUAAGCAGACCCUAACGCGACUCAGAGGGAAGAAAGGAGGCGAGAGCGAAGUAGUGGCGAGGUUCGCCAGAAUUGGGGUCGCGACGGCCGUGAACCCGACGACGACGAACUCGCGAAAUGUCGCUCACCUCGGGAAGAUCUCGUCCAACCGAGGGGUGGAGAAGAUGGAGGAGCUCGAGGCAGACUUGGAGGCGCUCGGAGGCGAGGCAAGACGCAGAGGCGAGGGCGCGAGGAGCUCGCGAAGCUCUCGGCGGCAAUGGCGACGGCGUUUUCGACCGACGGAGCGAGAGAGAGGAAGGAAGAGAGUGGACGGGCGCUGAGUGAGUACGGGGCGUCGUGGCGUCCAUGACGACUCCGACGGCCUGACGGGCGGAGCCAACGCCGGCGUACGGACGCCGGCGUACGGACAGAUGUCGCGCUGGGCGUCCACGACGGCGAGCUCGGCUCUGAAUCAGACCACGCGAUCACCGACUGACAGAGCAACUUCGACGACGAUUAACUUCCAAACCAGAGCGAGUUAGAAGAUGAUGUAGUUGACAAAGUUGGAGUAAUAGCUGAGUUCUACAACAUUGUCAACUAGAGCAAGAGCUAGAUUGGCCUGGUUUGAAAGAUAUGAAGUUUUCAAAAUCGAUCAAGCAAACUGUAGCGUCGCCAGACUUAGAAAAUUUUUUCGAAGUGUUGGAAACAGCCCCAAUUCUGCCUUGUGAGUCACUUUUGAGCUAGAUGUGAUCACUUUCAUGAGAUGGCUGUAAAACAACUUUUGUUCCUUAUAAAAUUUGCCACAACUUUUCUGUAGAAAGUUUUGACAUGCAAACAUUUUAUGAAACACUUUUUAAAAGCCUAAGCAAAAGAGGUUCCUAGGGCCUAUUUGUGUAAGUAUGACUUAAGUGAUUAUUUUGGAGAAAUGGUCAACAUGAACAUUUUUCCUAAGGUUGAGUUAAUCAUAGAUAAACUAAUUACCAAGGCAUAGAGCACAAACACAAGCAUGGUACACACCAACACAAGCCUAGGAAGCCUAUUUAGACAAUUUAAAUCACAUUUUGCAUAAAAUGACAUGGCUCAAGGUAGAUGAUGAUCAUGAUAUGCUUGAAUGAAUGAUGAUGCUCAUGUUAUGCAUGUGAUUUAUGCAACCAUAACACUGGGGUGUUACAGUUCCGGCCGGUAUCGCUUUUGAACAAUUAUAAAUUCCACAUUUACUACUAAACAUGUAUGAUACAAUGGACAUUAUGUAGUAAUAAAAAUAAAUCAAGUGAUAUUAAAAAACCAAUUAAUUUGAACUAUCCUACUUUCUAAGAUCAUAAAAAGAUACUAUAAUUCAUUCUUACAAACUACAUUAAUACUAGGUCAACCAUGAAAUAUGAUAUAUAUAUAUAUGGAUACUAAUUCAUGUGAAUGAUUCAAAAUAACAAAGUGGAUUUGAGCUAAAAAUAAUGGGACCAUCACAAGCCAAAAACAACAUGAAAAAGACAAGAAAGACAAAAGUUAGUCACCUCCGAACACGAAGAAAUGAUGACGGAGUCGAAGAAGAUCAACGAUGGGCAUCGGAGAUGAAGAACAAAUGAACAACAAGGAAGAAGAAGCUCCAAGAACAACAAUGGUGAAUGGUGCUCUCGGUUUCAAAUGGGCAGAGAGGAUCCGGCCUAUAAAGUGGACCAUUAGCACCGGUUCAGGGCUAAAACCGGUGCUUAAGGGUGACCCUUUAGCACCGGUUUGUACCACAAACCGGUGCUAAAGGGUUUGCCUCGGCCCGUGGCGCUGGCCGGUGCUAAAGGGGACCCUUUAGCACCGGUUUGUAACACGGACCGGUGCUAAAGGGUCCCUGCCCCGACAGCACCUGUCAGUAGCCGUUGGGCAGGACCCUUUAGCACCGGUUCUUCUUACAAACCGGUGCUAAAGGGGUCUUUAAUCCCGGGCCGCAAAAAGGCCGAGGUUUUUGGCCAUUUUGGACAUCGACCAAUGCCUCAUUCUGUAGUAGUGUGGCCAAGGGCAAAGAUGUUUACAUGUGCUAAUGAUAUAUUAAUUAAGUUUAAUAAAUAUGUCUCGUAUUUUUAAACGAGCUAUGUAAUUUAUUUUUUAUUAAUAUCUAAAAAUCCGAUAUUUUUCGCACACAUCCAAUGCCAUAUCCAAUUUUUUUCGUAAACUAAACAAUUUUAGUUCUUAACGGGUUUCAAAGUCUCGAUAAAAAACAGAAUCCCACAAAAUAUGCUACAUUGUACUGGAUUUUUAACAUACAUAUACUGUUUGUUUCAUUGAAAUUUAAUUUAUGUUAAUUCUUAUGUUGAUUUAUUGUAGGAGGAAAACACUUUUCGUCCGUUGAAAAGUACUAAAAGGGCCAAUAUAAACCUUUAGAAUCCACCGUAAUUCAAACAACUAGUUUUGCUAUAAACUGUACAGCUGGUUCACCAUGUGAAGUGGAAAUGGAACGCUUGGCUGCAGGGUUUAUAUAAAGUUAUUGUGGAUUUUCAAAAACGGUGGGUAAAUACCUACCGGGGUGUGGUAGAAGGUCUCACGGGCCAUGACGACGUUAGUGUACCAUGGCAACUGGCUUCAGUCUCUGUCCAUCCUUGUAUUUCCUUGUCCACAUUUAUAACUAAUCUUGGAUAGGUCUGGGAUCGAAGUUUCUGCUUAGCCAUGUUUAGUCCGUAGAAGUCAAGUGAUAUUCUGUCACUUGUGAGAUGUAGAAAAUGUAUGGUCACAAUUAGCUAUAUUUGCUAUCAUGAAAAAGAACCAGGUUCAUAAUGAAUUGAGACCGAGCAGGAUGAUGAUAAGAAAGCAACAAGGCAUGGAGGUCUUGGGUGUGGACCUAUUCUCAUCUGUGUCGUUUAAGGACCCAUACGCUGUACAUCCUCUUGUCAUGUUAAACGCAUGCCUGACACUUAGUUGGUCGAAUAAGUUGUUCCGACCACGAAAUCGAGUAGUUCAACUCAGGCCAGAUACCCCGUUCUGUUGGAGUGCGCACCCGGUUGGUAGUAAGGAUGUACGGGGGUCAUUGACGUGAGUCCAAGGGUAGGUGGUCCUGAUUGUCCAACCCUAGGGGUGCGUGUCACAGAACCAACCAAAUUAUAAGAGUUCAAGUGUCGAAACGAUCGCCGAAGCAAUCAAGUUUCCAAACUUGAGCCCAUAUAAUCCCGGUAGUCAAACGAAAUCUUGAAGGAUUUUAAACAAACUUAGCAACAAACUAAGAUCGUAAUAAAUUCAGCCCAAUACAUCGAUUAUUACAACAGUUGAUACAAGGUCAGUGAAGCGACACACAUCACCAGUUCAUUAGUACAACCAGUGUCUCAUCACAUCCACCAAAAGCAAGUUAGGUACAAAGUCUUAGAGAACCAUGCCCAACAGUUAGUCCUCAUCCCCAGCAGGGUGAAGACAAGUCUUGCAGAAACCGUCAUAGAAUAUAUCAUCUACAACAAGUGGAAAUAAACCCUGAGUGUAAGAUUGUACCCAGCUAGACUUACUCCUCUAACCAGAAACAAUGGACACCAAGGAUCAUGCAAGGCUUACUUUAAAAAGUGGAGCUGUUGCAUAAAGAGCUUAAGUUGGCUACGUAAACCAUUCUUAUUAGCCUCAAGUUUAUUAUCAUUAACCUGCCACUAAAUUAGCACAUGUACUAAGCACUCACUUGAUUACAGCAAAUAGUAAUAACCAUAUCAGGUUUAACCAAUUAUUCAUUCUUGCCAUCAUCAUCAUCAUCAUCGUCAUCAUCAUCGUCAUCAUCAUCAACAUCAUCAUCAUCAUCAUUAUAGAACCAUUAAGUAUUUAGUGAAUGCUACGUUUGCCGCUACUCUGUCAAGUUCUCACUAUCCGGGAGAGACGGCGAUUUGAAUCAAUUCCUAUCCAGCUGGAGGGUUAUUUCUAGCACUCACUCAUGCAUCCCCAGUCGAAGAGCAAGCGGGUCACCUUUGGUAUGACUCAGGAAUCGCGGCUUCGAUCAGCACCGCACUCCCAGGGAUGCCACUCUGCCAGGACGAUCAGGACUUUUAAAUCACCUGCCCUUGGUCUUACAUGGCUCUCCGCACACUGCACUUCCUCCAGUAGUGCGCACUUUAUACUUGCCGGUGUUCCGGCCUGAGUCAUGGUACUAGGCUUCGCGGUCGGAAUGAGUUAUCUGGCCAACUAAGUGUCAGGCAUGCGUUCAACAUGACAAGAGGACAUACAACGAUCGGUCCUUAGCUGCCACAGACGAAGUUACUACCACUUUGCAAAACUUUGCCCGGCUUAAGUCAUUUUAGCCAGGUUCUUCCAUGAUAGCAAAUAUAGCCAACCGGGAUUGAUCAUCAGACCCUAUAGCUCGCAGGUGACAGGUCAUCAACCAACUUCUACCAGUUUAAGCAUGGCUUGGCUAGUACUCGAUCCUGACUCUAUACAAGGUUAAGGUAAGAUAUCUGGACAAGAAAUGAUAUAAUGCAGCAAGGGUUUUAUAACAACUCCUAUACGUAAUGCAGCAAUAGAAAUUAACAUAUUUACUCAUGCUUGGUAAAAUAAAUAGGAGACUCAUAAUGCUCCGGGGCUUACCUUUCACGAACGACCGCUGGCUCGUGACUCAGACACUCAACUUCUUCGUGCUCCUCGGGUCGUGCUGGCUGGGCCUCUGGCUCCUAGGUGUUCUCUUGGUCUUCUGGGUUCACCCUCUCGAUCUCGUACUGGGCUCUGACUUCCGAUGCACCUAUUGCAUGUAUGUGAAGUGAGUAAAGUAUGUAUGCAUACAAGGGAAUGAUGGAUGCAUUACAUGAUUACUAUCACAAACCCUCACUGGACACUUAUUUACGGAGUAAACUUCUCAACAAGUUUACACAAGAACACCACAAGACUUAGCAAAGAUACACACUAGCUACACCAACCAACAGCACUUCCUACUCAGCAAGGCAGCACAAAGAACAGAUCAUAUCUGGAGAUGUACAGACCCAACAAACAUGAAUUAAGACAUUCUGGAAAGCUUAUAAAAUUAUUUACAUUUCAUCGUUAGACACCUCAACAUGAUUCACAAGUUAAACAGGUCAAAUAAACAAAGUUCCAGGUUCUAUUCCAGACAAACAAAGAGCAUCCUCUUCUGACUUAGAACAGCUAUAACUUUUAAACCACUUGGCCCAAUGCCCCCAAAAUUUAACCACAGCUAUUGCAUAAAGUUUACAACAACUUUUGUAUAUACAAGUUCUCCAGAGAACAUACUUAACAUUAAGGAAUUACCAAAUUUAUCCCUUGCUGUCCAGAAAGGUUAAUUAGCCUUUAAUUAAUAAUUUACUAACAUGGCAAAGACAUAUUUAGUGUCAACCAAGUGAUUCACCAGAACACAUAUGAUUUAAGAUUACUAGAAAACCAUAUGUUACCUGCCAAAACAUUACUUAUAUAGCAUUUAUUAAUUUAUUUCCAUAAAAGAGCAUAAUUAAGAGACAUGAGCACAAGUACUCAAGAAAAUCUACAAAAAUUAAAGAAGCAUAUGCAUGGCACCUAAAUGUCACCAUAACAUUUUCAGGGAAAUUGCUCAGGCCAUACUUUAGAUAUCUAAUUAACAUGUGACAAGGUGCUUAUUACCAUAAAUUAAGAAACUUAGGUUAAACAGUGUCAAACAACAGAUUUCAGAUUAUUCUUAAGAUUCUAUUACAAUCAACAAAAAUCAAGCCAAAGGAGAGCACCAUCACAAGCAUGCAUUAUUUAUAAUGAUUUAUACAAGGAUUAAAGCAAUAAAAAAAGUAUAAAUUACAUACAAGUCAUACUGCAUCCAAAAAACAUUAAAUAUUUACCAGAGCAUACCACUACCAUAUAAAGCAUGCCAUAAAAUUUUCAGCACAUUUGGAGCCUUACACAGAAAGAUAUGAAUUUACUUUGAUUAAUAAAGAUUAAUUCAUAACAAUUAUUCUUCACAACAAACAUGGAAUAUUUUAUAUUUUUAAUAAAAACUAGCCAUCCCAGAGAAGAUCUCAAAAUUGGUUUCACAAAUUCUGGAGCUCAGGAACAGGAGUUCUGAAUUUUGCAAGAUUGAGCAAAAUCUAGAAAUUUGAAUAAAUGGAGAGGAUGGAAAUAGGGUCACUAAUAGCGGGGCCCGCGUGUCAGUGACACAAAGUGGAAAGGACACACUCGCCGGCAAACGCUCGCCUAUGGUGAGCUUCUCCGGCGCAUCCAAGGGCACCAGGGUGUCCCCUAAGUCCUUCCGCGUCGAUAGAGGUAGGUGGUGCGAGGGUUUGAGCAACAGAGCAAGGUGGUCGUCGGCCAUGGCGGAACGACGGGGCUAUCUCGGCUUACACCGGCCAUCUCCGGCCUGUAGAGUGUCGGAACGAGGCUGCCAGAGCAUCAACGAGAUAGUGCAGAGCUUCCUAGGUGGAAAGGCCUAACUCUACUGGCUUUGGUGAGCCUGCUCAAGUGCGGGGUGGUCGCCGGCGGUGAGCGCGGUGGCCGUGUUUCCGCUCGGUGGUGCCACCAUUGACGAUAGGAUGUGACAUAGAGCAAGAAGCAAACCUAAGUAAGCUCUAACGUGACUUAGAAGGAAGGAAGAGGGUAAGGAUAGAGCAGGGACGAGGUUCACCAGAGUAGGGGUUGUGACAGCCGUGAACUUGACAACGUUGAACUCGAGAAAUGUGGCUCACCUCGGUUCGAUCUCGAGCAACUGAGAGGUGGAGAAGAAGGAGGAGCUCGAGGUAGACUUAGUGAUGCUCGGAGAGGAGGCACGGAGCAAAGAAGGUGGUGCACGGAGCUCGUGAGACGCUCGACGUCAAUGGCGAUGACGUCGCUGCCGUUGGAGAGCACGAGAGAGAGGCAGAGCGAGUGGGAGUGGUGCGGGGCGAGUGCCGGUUGGCGUGGCGACCAUGAAGGCAUGGAGGACCUAACCAGUGGGGCUAGCAAUGGCAUACGGUCGCCAGAUUGCGGCCGAAGUCUGCCGCGGUCGGCCAGCACGCACGCCUGAAGAAUGCCAUCAGGGCUUUGAUCACCGACUGACAGAGCUAUUUCGACGAUGAUUAACUCCCAAUCCAGCGUGAAUUAGGAGAUGGUGUAGUUGACAAUCUUGGAGAACUAGACGAGAUCUACAACAUUGUCAACUAGGGCAAGAGAUAAAUCGGCCAGGAUGAAAAGAUAGAAAGCUCCAAUGAUCCUUCAAGCAAACUGUGUCGAGGAGAAGACUUAAAAUUUUUUCUAAGUGUCCAAACAGCACCCAAUAUCGAAUUGUGAGCCAUUUUUGAGCAUGUUGUGACCAUUUUCAUGAGAUAGCCCUAAAAUACCUUUUGUUCCUUACAAAGUUUUCUACAACUUUGCUUCAGAGGGUUCUGCCAUGCAAACAUUUGAUGAAGCACUUUUUAAAAGCCUAAGCAAAAGUGGUCUAGUGGGUCACCCUAGGCCAACCAUGACUUAGGAGCCUAAUUAGAGCAUGUGACCAACAUGAACAUUGAUCCCUAGGGCAUGUUAAACAUAAAUAAACUAUUUACUAAGCACAACAAGCAUAAAUUAGAUAGAAAAGCAUACAUAGCACAUGAAAUGAUAUGCUCCACAUGACAUGAUGCUCAUGAAAUGAGAUGAUGAUGAUUAUGCUCAUGUCAUGCAAGAGAUAGAAUGCAACCAUAACACUGGGGUGUUACAGCCCUCCCCCCUUACAAAAAACACAUCCCGAGAUUUGAAGAGCUUACUGGUUUUUUAGAAAGUUUUAUAAACAUCUCUCAGAUAGUCUUCCUGCUCCUAAGUAGCAUCUUCCUCUCCAUGGUUACUCCACAUAACCUUGUAGAGUUUUACCACGCGAUUAUGUGUUACCUGUUCCUUGCGAUCAAUGACCGCUACAUGUUUCUCUUCAUAAACCAAGUCUGAUUCUAACUUGAUAUCUCAAAUUUCCACUCUCUCCUCAGGGACUCGAAGGCAUUUCUUUAGUUGAGACACGUGGAAAACAGGAAAAAUAGCUCGCAGCUCAGUGGCAGUUGAACCUUGUAAGCUACCUUCCCUUUCUGUUCAAGAAUCCGAUAAGGUCCCACAUAGCGAGGUGCAAGCUUUCACUUGACUCCGAACCUUUGUACCCCUUUUUUCAGAGACACUUUGAGAUAAACAUGAUCCCCGACGACAAAAUCAAUCAGCUUUCUUCUCUUGUCAGCAUAACUCUUUUGUCAAGACUGAGCAGCUUCUAGAUGUUGCUGGAUUGUGUGGACUUGCUGCUCCACUUCAUUUACAAAAUCGAUGCCAUAAUACCUUCUUUCCCCUGGCUCUACCAAAUUCAACGGAGUUCUACACUUCCGACCAUAUAGGGCUUCAAAAGGAGCCAUCUUAAUGCUCUAUUGCUCUUGGUAACUAUUGUUAUAAGAGAACUCAGCUAAUGGCAACCAUUUUCCCAAGAACCCUUUGAAGAUAAAGCACAAGCCCUCAACAUAUCUUCCAAGAUUUGGUUAACACAUUCAGUUUGGCUGGCAGUUUGCAGAUGAUAAGUUGAACUUCAGACCAAAUGAGUACCUAUCUGCUUAUGAAGACACUCCCAAAAACGAGUAGUGAACUACGGUCCACAAUCAGAUAUGAUAGUGUGAGGUAUACCAUACUGACGGACAAUGUGCUCGAAAUACAACUCUGCAUAAUGAUGCAGACGAUACUCAGUUCGAACUAGGAUAAAACAAGCAACCUUGGUUAAAAGAUCAACAAUGACCCAAAUCGAGUUGUAACCCUUGACAGAAGGUGGAAGUCUAGAGAUAAAGUCCAUACUCACUUUCUUCCAUUUCCAACCAGGGAUCAGCAAGGGUUGAAGUAAACCUGCUUUCAUGUGAACCGCCUUCACACGUUAGUAGUUGUCGCAACAAGCAACAAAAGCAGCAAUUUCUUUGUUCAUUUUGUCCACCAAAAUAGAGGUUUUGGGUCUUGAUACAUCUUACUACUACCAGGAUGAAUAGAUAGCUUGGACGAAUGAGCUUCAAACAUAAUCUGAUUUUAGAGCUCAUGAUUCUUUGGUACAACAAGCCUAUUGAACCAUAGGAUUUUGUUCUCAUCAACCCAGAAAUGCUUGGUUUCUUCCUCUUUCAUCUUUCAUUUUAUGUGGUGGAUGCCUACAUCAGUCUACUGCAACUCAAUCACCUGAUUACGAAGAGAACUUUCCAGUGCAAUAUGGUGAAGUACCAUGGGAUGCAUAAGACAUGACAAAGGGGGAUCAUCAAUCCUAACCAAAUUGCAAUGCGACUUUUGACUCAAGGCAUCCGCCACCACAUUUGCCUUGCUUGGAUGGUAGUGCACUUGAAGAUUAUAAUCUUUGAUCAACUCAAGCCACCUUCGCUGUUGCAUGUUCAACCUAGGUUGAGUAAAGUUAUACUUGAGGCUCUUAUGAUCGGUGUAGAUAUUACACAAAUUACCUAAUAGAUAAUGCCUCUAGAUCUUCAAAGCAUGAACUACUGUGGCCAAUUCUAGAUCAUGAGUAGGGUAUUUGACCUCAUGCUUUCAAAGUUGGCGUGACACAUAGGCGAUAACUCAACCUUCUUGCAUAAGCACACAGCCUAGACCGAUACCGGAUGCAUCACAAAAGACAUUAAACGGCUUCUCGACAUCGGGUUGAGCUAAGACAGGAGAUGAUGUUAGCAAGGUUCUUAACUUGUGGAAUGCCUCUUCACACUCUGGUGUCCACAGGAACUUUUCAUCUUUCUGAAGCAAAUGAGUCAUAGGCUUGGAUAUUUUGGAAAAUUCCAGAAUGAAAUGACGGUAAUACCCAGCCAAACCUAGAAAACUCCACACCUCGUGCACUAAGGUCAGAACCUUACAAUCCAACACUUCUUACACCUUGGCCGAAUCAACCGAGAUUCCCUCUUCAGACAAGACAUGGCCCAAGAAAGGUACUUCCUUUAGCCAGAACACACACUUGCUAAACUUAGCAUAAAGCUGAUGCUCACGCAACCGAGUCAACACUAUACGUAGAUGCUCUGCAUGCUCCUCUCAUUACGAGAAUAUACUAGGAUAUCAUCAGUGAAGACCACCACAAACUUGUCCAAUUCGGGCAUAAAGACCGAAUUCAUGAGAUACAUGAAAUGCGUUGGUGCAUUGGUCAGACCGAAGGACAUAACGAGGUACUCAUACAACCCAUACCUCGUUGAGAAAGCCGUCUUGAGUACAUCUUUAGGAUGGAUCUUGAUCUGAUGGUACCCAGAUCGCAAAUCAAUCUUGGAGAACACCUUGGGUUUAGACAACUGAUCAAAUAGGAUAUCAAUCCGAGGAAGAGGGUACUUGUUCUUGAUAGUUACCACAUUGAGUGGACGAUAAUCCACACACAUGCGCAAGGAUUGAUCCUUCUUCUUCACAAAGAUAGCCGGACAACCCCAAAGAGAAGAACUAGGAUGGAUAAGAACCUUCUUCAACAACUCAUUCAACUAGGUCUUAAGCUUAGCUAGCUCAUUUGGCUGCAUUCUAUACGGUCUUCUAGAGAUAGGAGCAGUGCCUGGAAGCAAUUCAAUUUUAAACUCCGCAUCCUAGUUUAGAGGAAGCCUGGGCAAGUCAUCAAGAAACAUGUCCGGAAACUCACACACCACUAGAAUGUCCUCGAUGGCAAUAGAUGUUACUGCAUUCAUCGUGCUGUGGAUGUUAAUAUCGUGAGGAAGUUGUACUAUGAAUGCCUCCUUAGUACUACGAUCUCUCAACAUCACCACGCAAGUAGUGGUGUCAAUAAGAACCCCAUUACCACUCACCCACUUCAUUCCUAGAAUCACAUCUACACCCACACUAGGCAAGACAACCAAAUCAGCAAGAAACUAACGGUCUCAUAUUUCCAGAGUUGCCCCCUCUUGACGGUCGAUAACGUUAACUGUUAUUAGAACUUUAGACCCGAAAGAAAACAUGAAAACACAUUAGUCUAGUGUUUAAACUGACAAUUUCCAUUAGUUUUGCAUAUUCUGUAUUUUCCAGGGUCUAUUUCUAGAAAAGCUGAAAAGAGGGAUUCAAGUGCGAAAUAAACACAAAACUUAUCCGCCAUGAAAAGAUCACGAUUGGGACGUGGGAAAACUCUGGAAGACACCAAAAGAGCCGGGGGGCUAGAGGCCGCUAGGUGGGCCGGCCGGCCCCACCAUGGCGCCGGCCAGCGCCCCAACUCUAGGGUUUUCAGGCCCCCUUCUGGAAGCUUCCUCCACCGCCUAUGAAGAGUCGACUUGGCCCUUGGUUAAGUCGGUUUGAUCCUGUGGCACACGUCGAUCCCACCAGGCUAUAAAUAAAGGGGCAGACCCCCCUCCUUGGCGGCAUCAAGUCAUUUGGAGAUCAAUCCAUCAAGAGCCUUCUCUAGUUCAUCAGAGCCUCUCUAGUUCAUAGCUUUAGCCUAGUUAGAUUAGAAGUAGUAGAGUUCUAGUUCUUCAGCGGGAUCCAGAGCCCCUGGCGUCUGUUUGGAGCGCGGAGUUCAGUAUAUUUCUAGUACUUUUCUCUUAUUGUAUUCAAUAUUAUGACUCAGGCAACAUUGUUCUUAAUCUCUUAUAUAUUCUUAAUUGCAAUAGUCAUUGUCUACUUUGAGUAUAUGUCUAGGAUAGUUGGUUUGAUCUCAUUGAAUUCAUGUAAUUGCUCGUAUAGCGUUUACCUAAUUGAUCGUUGGGUAGAUGGUAGACAAUAUGUAGAUGUGCUGUCUAGAUAUCAUGUUUAUCUCUAAGUGCACCCUCACGUGCCGAGACGUGUGGUAGUGCACGCAAGUGACAACUGUGUUGGUUCCUCUGUAGUCCACCCUUUGUACGUAGGACUAGCAUGUGCAUGGUCGCGAAGGAGGUGACCCUUGUGUCUUAAUACCCUCAUUAGUUGAUGCCUCUUUACAUGUGAUUAUGAUAUAGGGUUAACUUAACAAUGAUUUCUAGAUAUAAUUGCACUAAUUAGAGUUAUUCAUUGAUGUAGUUAUUGAAUUACAUUAGUAUUUAUUCUUGAGUUUAUCCAUUGGCUAGCUAUUACUAUGACUAGAAGAGCUCUGAUAUUUAUCUAUUUAUGAUGACUAAUCAUUAUCUAUCUUAUAUCUUUUAUCAAGUGACUUAUCCCUGUUAUGAGUAGGAUUCUAGUUAUGGUUUAUCGUUCACAUCAAUAGUAUAAGUUAUAGUUAUAAGUCCUACAUAUAUACCGUCCCUGUGGAUACAAUAUUAAAACCUCCUGGUAAAAUGUGACAUUGGUACGUUAUAUGUGCACUUGCGGAUAAUCUUACUUAAAUCUUAUUUAAAAAGGAGUGUAGUUAAUUUAUACCAACAUGCAUUUUUGGCACCGUUGCCGGGGAAGGUAGCUAGGCAAUUAAGGAACAUUGACAGACUUAUACUCAGUUAUGUGAUCGAGAUAACCAUUAACCCCUGCUCAAGCAGGAUUACCCUUGUUUGUCUAUUUUUAUAUAUCAUGCAGGGUAAUAAACGACCUGUUUACAACCUUCCGGCAUGCCCCAACAAAAUAAGAAGAAACAUAACAAAUCCAAUAUUGGAGAAAGAGGUCGACGUCACAAGACUUGAAUUCAUAUCUCAAGUUAUGGGAACAAAGAUGUUGCAUCACUCACAAAUUCUAGAAUGUGAUUCAUGGUAAGUAUGAUAAAAUAAAGGUGAGAAUGUGUUGCUCAUGGACUUCAACAAUUAUGAUUAGUUAUCUUUUACAUUCCACUGCAUGUUUACAUUAAUCCAUAUAUUCACACUAUUUAGUUUAAAUUUCCUCACCCAUAACUUGUUCCAUUUCAUAUAUUCAUCUCACAUGCAUUAUAAAAAAAACUCACCAUGAUCAUGCUCUUUUAUCUCUAUCUGAAUAAAUCUCUACUAUAUUUUCAUGUUACCUUUAUUUGCUGUGGUAUAUGUUUAGGCUUUGAAGUACUUUCAUAAAUCUCUUAAAGGAAGCAUGGUGCUUAGUUUUGAGUGGUGGUUUUACUUUUAAAAGGCUUUUAAAUUGAGCUCAGAUUAAAAUGCCUUCCUAAGUCAAAUUAGACGUGGUGUCUAGGUUGAUUUUUGAGCCGAUAGUAUGUUGUAGUGGAUACUGGAUAUUUUGUCAGACUAACCCCUACAGGAAAAGUUUGAAUUAAAUCUGGGAAAGUCAAGAGAUAAGUUCACACCAGGGAUGAAUCAAGGCAAAUGAUAACUUUGCACAAAAAGUCCAACUUGUGAGUUGUAAUAUUUAUUCAUUUAUCUUUUGUUACAAGUUAUCUUUGCCCUCAACCAUGCUAGAUUGCAACAACAACAUAAAACACGAUAGACACAAUUUAUGCUAAAUAAUCUUAAACCAUAUAUCAUCUUGAUUAGCAUAAAAGAAAAUAAAAAAAGUAUGGACAACAAAACCCAUAUUUCAAUCUUGCUAUUCCCUCGGGUAUGUGUCUAUUAAUAUUUUGCAGGAAAGAACAACCUUAAUCUAUUGGAGAAGAAGUUUUCAAGUGAACAUUAUUGCAUCUCCAAUAGACCUAGCACAUCAACCACAAAUUUAUCAAAGAAAUCAAAAAAGUUGAUGAGUGAAGAGCAUGUAAUCUUCUAUAGUUUCAUUGAAUGGUGAAAAGGCGAAAAAGAUAAAAGGAAGGUCUUGCUCAGCAAGACCAUAAGCUCUCACCAACAAAUGAACCUAAACCCUCCUCUUCCAAGUAAGUUUGUCAUCACUUACUUAGAAAGAUGAAGAUAUGAGGUACGUUUGUCCAAGCAUCAUGCAACAUGUAACUACAAUUAACAUCUCAUACCAUGUUGCUAAUUUGUCUUGGUCAUUUCUACCCUACGCUAUGCUCAAACAUAACUUGCUAAUAUAUAUAUAAUAAAAUGCUCCUGUGGUUCACUAUACAUAUUCUUGGUUCUAUAUGAAUAAAUACCUUUAGUCUUGCAAACUUCCUGAUUCUAUUAUAAGUAUGCUUUAUAAUAUCACUUAAACAUUAUGAAUCAAGCAUACUUAUAUAAGAAUUUAGUUGUACAUAUAGACUAACCCCUCCUACUUAAAAAAUGUUUAAAUCAUAUUUGGAUACUAUUCAUAGAAUCAAUUCAAGGUUAAGGGUAUGCUUCAAAAUAAUAUCUUUGCUUUAACCUUGAUGAAAAAAUUGAAAUAGUAGUGAAUCAUUGAAAAUAUGAGCUAAAAUCAAUAUUUAACUCUUAGGCAAACACUAUCCAUACUUUGAUAAAUACUAUAUUUCUUCGGGUAUGUGUUCUCCACUAAACCCUUGUAGAAAAGACAUAAUGAGAGAAGCAAAAGGUCUAAAGAGUGAGAAAGGAGUACAACAUACGAGACAAGAUGCUAAUGAAUAACCCAUGAUACAAGAAAAAAAAAGAGAGACCAUUGAAAAUCAUUUACCCUUCAUCAUGCUCUAAUGGAGAUAACAUCUUAAGAUAAGUGGUCAGUAAUUUAUUCUUGAUCUUGGUUUGGAAUAAAUGAAAAUACAACCAUGUUAGAGUUACAACUUAAAUUGAUCAACCUGAUUAAAAUCAACAUGAUUUGUUCUUUGAGUUUGUUCAUAGCGCUAUUCUUGUAAUCUGAGUCUUAACCGAGUAAGCUAGAAAUACUUCGUAUAUUAUUCUUAAUAUAUUAUAAAGAUGAAUAGCCUUUCUAAUGCUUAAGUAUCUUUACUCUUUAUCUCACAAGUUCAAAUAUCAUAUUUAUACUUCUGGUCCUCUCACCCAUGAUAGGAAUGAACAAUAUGAAUAAUAUCAAUCUUAUUGUGCCCAAGGUUAGAGGAUAAUUAAAUUUCUAGUUCUGUUGGUGUUUUCCCACCAACAGAGCCCAUGCACUUGAUCUCUACCAUGUCUUUGUAGAUAGAACACACUUCAAUUAAAGUGUGAGGAGACAAUUGUAACACUGCUAGUGUUAGCUUGCAUGAUAACCAUGAGCAUUGCAUCAACAUAAGCAUCAUCAUGCUCAUUCAUAAGCACCAUAUUGUUGGGCAUUCUUAACGUCACUACCAAAAGUAGAUUUAGUUUUAUAAUUCUGAUAACGGCGCCAAAAAUGCCAAACCUAUCCCUCAUGCCACUUAAGCCAAGUUGUCACCCCAGCAUGACAUGAAAGAUGCGGUAUUGAAAUAUGCAAUUGCUCUUCUAAAUAAAUAAUAAAUGAGAUCUGCAAGCGCACAGAUUAAUACCGAUGUAGCAUUUUAACCGGGAAGUAUUCUAGGUAUCGUUAUUUUUAUUUUUACCACUGGGAAGGGAUUAGUAAUCAUCAAUGUUGAUUAUGGAAUGGAACAUAGAAUUGAGUAUCUAUCAUUGCAUGUAUAAUUGAGAGCAGUUAUCUAUCUCUUUCAUACAGGGAUAAGUGUCACAUAAAAGAUAUAUAAAGUAUGAAUGGUGACAAAGAUAAUUAAUCUGAUCAGCAUAACUUAGCCACAUAAUAAAUAUGAUAAGCACCUCAAUUAGAUAUUCUAACAAGUCAUUAGCAUGGAAUUAGGACAAACUAUAAGAAUAUUUCCUAAGUUAUUCUCAACUAUAUAGUCUAGCAUAUCAUAGUUAGUGCAAUUAUACUUGGCAAUCAUUGCGAGACAGGACUAUGCCCAUGCAUAAUGAUAUUAUCAAGGAAUAUGAGAAACAUCGCAAUCACUCCCCUGUAAUAAUGUUGCUCUGCCAGCCCUAUACACGAGAGGGGGACUCAUUGUUGGGUAUUUUUAACGUCAUUACCAAAAAUAGACUUAGUUUUCUAAUUCUGAUAACAACGCCAAAAAUGUCAAACCUAUCCCUCAUACCACUUAAGCCAAGUUGUCAUCCCCAGCAUGACAUGAGAGAUGCGGUAUUGAAAUAUGCAAUUGCUCAUCUCGAUAAAUAACAAAUGGGAUCUGCAAGCACACAGAUUAAUACCGAUGUAGCAUUUUAACUGGAUAGUAUUCCAGGUAUCGUUAUUUAUAUUUUUACCACUGGAAAGGGAUUAGUAAUCAUCAAUGUUGAUUAUAGAAUAGAAUAUAAGAUUGAGUAUCUAUCAUUGCAUGUAUAAUUGAGAAUAUUUAUCUAACUCUUUCAUACAGGGAUGAGUGUCACAUAAAGGAUAUAUAAAGUAAUGAAUAGUGACAAAGAUAAUUAAUCUGAUCAGCAUAACUUAGCCACAUAUAAAUAUGAUAAUCACCUCAAUUAGAUAUUCUAGCAAGUCAUUAGCACAGAAUUAGAACGAACUACAAGAAUAUUUCCUAAGUUAUUCUCAACUAUACAGCCUAGCAUAUCAUAUUUAGUGCAAUUAUACUUAGCAAUCAUUGUGAUACAGGACUACGCCCAUGCAUAGUGAUAUUAGCAAGGAAUAUGAGAAACAUCGUAAUCACUCCCCUGUAAUAAUGUUGCUCUGCCAGCCCAAUACACGAGAGGGGGACUAUAUAAGAAUCAAUGGAGCUGUCACUACCACAAACUACCCCACGAUCUGGCAUAUAGGGUACAAUCGCAGAUAAAUACGGUAUAAGCACCACGCCUACACAAUAUCUAUCAUUUUACCCAUGGAUCCGAUGGAUAAACGCUAUACAAUCCUAAAUAUGUAUAUAAAUCCAAUCUAACUAAGCCAAAUAUAUAACUAUGAUAAACUAAGAACAAUAUAAUUGUGAAUAUAAACAAGUAGAGCAAAGUCAUAAGAAAUACAUUGAAGUAGAACAAAGUCAUACUCAUAAUAUUGAAGAACAAAGAUGAACAAUUGAAGAACAAUAGAGAAUUACCAAGAAUCCUCCUGACAGAUCUGGAAACCAAUCGAAGAUUGACUCCUUCUAGUUCCAAUCCUAUUUAGCUAUGCUAAUCUAGAUGUCUAAUUGAUGUGGUUGCUCUAGGCUUGAUCAGAGGCUUCUUCUCCCUUGAUGAAUAAUGAAUUAGGGUUGAGAGGUCUCCUCCUCCAGGGGCCAGGGGGUCUGGUUUUAUAGUCCUUCCAAGUGAAUAUGGGCCGUCGGAUCAAACCGACAUUGAUUGAACGGUUAUCCUUGAUCCUUUAGGUCGGUGGAGCGUAAUCCCGAAAGAGAGUUCUGACUGGACUCUAACAGGGGGCGGGUGCCCUGGUCCCUAGGGCGGGCGCCCUGGGCCAGGCUCUGUUCUGCCUCCGCUUCGUUCCCGUGGCUUCUGGAGUCUUCUAGAUGUAACAUAAUUGCGUGGCACGUUAAUAUCUCUAUGUAAUCCCGACGUGUGGGCCUUUCUUCCAUAUUUCCUGAUAACCCCCUGCAGAAAUAGAGAAACACCAAAACUCGUGGAAUUCUGUCAGAUAAAACCCUAAUUAUAGAUGUUGAUUUCAUUUGGAUCCUUUUCUUUGUUUAUUUGUUAAUUAAAUUUGAUACUUAAGGACCGUCAACAAACUCCCCAAGCUUACCUCUUGCUCGUCCCUGAGCAAGGAUAGUCUCAGCGAUGGAUCAGAAGUUGUUGUAAUGCCUUUAAAAGUUGACGGUACACAUACUUUUAAAUAAGAUCUCAUCUCUGAGUUAGAGUAAACUGUCAAGACUUAAAACUUACUUACUUUACCUUUUACCAUGGGACUUGUAACCGUCUCUUCUGUCUUGAGUAGUUAAAAGAUAGAACGGUCGAAUCAAGUGCCAUGUCUCUUAUUCUUGAUCAGCUAUAGCUCUGAAGUUUUUGCAGAUUUUCAAAUAAAACUCAGAGAUUCCUUGUAUGACUCAGAUCUCUCUUUUGUGGUUUUUCUAGAUCCUUACCAAGGCAGUGAUGGUACAUGCCUUCUCUAAAAGUAUAUGGUAUUUGUGGUAUAAGGCAUAGUGACAUUGCCUUCUCUCUCACCCUACUCUAAUAAGGCUUUAAUAUCUAGAGCUCAUAGGUGGGAGAUACAUACUCACAAGACAUUUAUUGUAUAGUUAAACCAUGGAUCCAAAGAAACAAAUCAAUAAGUCAAAUCAAGAUGUGCAUGUGUGGCGAAUGAAUGGUGUAUGGUGAUGAUGGUGAUAACAAUGGUGAAAGUCUAAUUCUACUUUUGCUCUUUGAGGAGAUACAUACCUUCCUUGCUUUUUGAAACUUUGUGAUGAGAAUGAGAUGCUCUCUAUUUCAUUUUUCUUUUCUCUCAGGUGGGUAUCUUGUACCCUUAAUUCUACUGUCGGACACUUGUCCAUUUUUACCUCUCAUCUCACUUUUUCUUUUCUUUCGAGGUUCCGGGCACAUGCCCCUUUUUAUUUCCUGGUAUCUCUUUUUUUAGAGCACUCAUCUCAUGAAAUAAUAUAGCAAGUGGUAGUAACCAAGAUAAGUUGAGCAUUUAUUUCACAGGACAAAAAUAGAAAUGUUUUUGGCUAUUCUCUCCUGGAUUAGGAGUAAAAUAUUUUUGGGUGGUUCUAGAGAUGGAAAUGAGUGGAUAUAUGUGGAUGGUACUUCCGGAGUAGAAGCAGUAUGUGUGAGUGAACGUGCAAGUGAAUCUUGAUUUCACCACAUGACAAGCUCCUAAGGGUCUACACACCUUGACCACACUCAAUGCUCAUAAGUAGUAAAAAGUAAACGUGUGGCUCAAAGUCUAGCAAGCAUGUAUAUAUGGCUAUGGUAGGAAUUUAAACUCUCAUCAUACAGGAACUCAUCAUGCAAUAUUUUAAAAAUUUUCAAAGAUAAAAUUCUCUAGAAUUCUAGCAUCUCUACGAAAUGAUAAAUAGCAGCUCAACCUUCCCAUACCAUAUCCGUUAACAACUUAGACUUCAGAUCAAGUUUUCUUCCCACAAGUUUAGGUUUAGAGCAAGCUUUAAAUUAUAACAGUUAUGUCUAAACUAGAGAGCAAACUCAAAUUUGAAAAAUUAGGCAGAGCAACUAUUCAUCAUAUCCAUGCUAGAGUUUUAUUAUUAAGAUUCAGUUUAGCAUAGCGACUUUAUUUAUUUAUUAAACACACUAAGCAAAAGAUAUAUAUAUAUAUAUAUGCAUAAAAUCUUUAUUUGGUUUCCCAUAGUUAAGUAUUUUAAUAUAGUAUAAGUAUAAAGAUAGAUAGAAAUACUUAGCGGGAUAAAUGGGGGUGCUCUCCCCCAAGCUGAAUUUUGACGUAAUUUCUCUUGAUGUAGCUAGCAGGUGGCAGAGGUGUAUUUGAAAGUCGGCAGUAUCCUAACAGUGAUUAAAAUGUCCUCCGUUUGCUAGUCUUCUUGAUUCUUAAAUUCUGUGGAGCUCAAAUAGACAACAAAGCUUUUAGGAAAUGAUUAAGUGUUAGCAUAAAUAUCUAGCCUUCAUCAUGUUGAGCCUCCUCAAUAAAUGUAACUCUCUAUUUUUAUAUUUUUGUUUUAUAGAGCAGAAAAAAUAUUUAUUUUAUUUUUAUGCCACCACAGUGAAUGUACUUAUGCAUUUUAUGCCACUCGUAUACUCACAUGGGGCUUACUGUUUUUUUAACAUUUUUAUUUUCUUUUUAGGAUAGUAUGAACAUGAUUAACUAAGCAAACUGUUUUAAAUAAAGGAAAAGGAUAACUACCAAGUUUACCUCUUGGCAAGGCGUUCGGUGUUUUUAAGUCCUCCGAACGGGACUCUCCUGUAAUACCCAAUUUUAAGGACAAAACCAGAUAUGCACCAUAUGUGAGUCUUAUAAGUCGAAUCUCACAUAUAGCUACAAAUAAGAGGUAAUAUCAAAAGACAAUGCAUAAAUUAUAUAACGUACAUAAUAAAUUAGAGAUAACCUUAGGCAGCAAACAACGGAAGAUACUCCAAACUUCGGGUAUUAACUUCACUCUACAGGAUCCAACUAACUGGUUGAUCACAAGCCUAAACUCCUCCUGAGGUGUGGGGGAAAUAGCAAGAGUGAGUCCAUGUCGAACUCCACAAGUAUAGCAACUAGAUUGUAUAGCUCCCACAUCUCAUGAUCAAUGUGACAUAAAUUAUGUAAAGCAUUAAAUAAUAAAUAAUAGGCAUAUUUAACACACAAGAAUCAUCAUCGUCGAUGCAAGAAUCCCCAAGGCCGCUCCUGACCGUGAGCUCGGCUAGUAUACUAGUUUUUAACCCUCUGCAGAGGUUGCACAUCUUUACCCAUGAGUCAUGAUUUACCCUUUCGCCCGAGGUAGCUAGUCUCUUAACCCCCUUCCUAGGGAGGUCAGCAGGGAUCACUAUGAAGUCUUUCAAAGGAUCGUCUAACAAGUUAGGGCCGCUUGAUUUCAUUAGUCAGUCCGUGUGAUUCACCCGCAGGAAUCAACGGUCUGCUAUUCCCCAAUUGCGCCACAACGGGUAACCGCUAACGAGCUAGAAAAGUUACUCAUACUUAACUAAAGCCAGAGCCAUUAUAGCCCUCAUGGUUGCACUGUUGUCCCAGUUAUCACUUACAGAUAAAUCAUCAAGUGGCUAAAAAGUCAUUUUUAUCAUUUAUUACUUAACAUUAAUCUAGUCACAGGAUCAUGGUCACAUAAAUAAAAUCCAAAUGCUAUACUUGCCUCAAUCCAAAUACUCUUGCUGAUCUUGCUAGUUGCCCAAGGCUCUGAUCUUGAUCAAUGAAGUACUAUGGUUCACCACGAAUUGCUCACCGUCUAAUCCGAUCAUCGAUCACACAAAGCUACAACUUGAACAGUACACCAAUCAUAUAAAAACAGUAUGAAAAGUUUAUAAAAAGAUUCUACGCAUCGCUACGAUUUCAUAGACGUAAAGAUCACGAAAAUCAGAGCUAAAACGAAGAAGUUAUGAAUUUUCUAAGAUUUUAUAUAGAAAAGUAAUUAAUUAAUUAAAGUCACGUAAUUAAAAAGUUUCAAACUGAGUAAAUAAUUUUACUAACAUGUAGAGCUCAUGAUUAUGAACCUAACAUAAUUUGAAUGGACAAAAACGGAGUUAAAAUGAGUAUUUUAUAAGCAAAGCAGUUUCAGUGGCAAACUUGUAAAUUCAGAAAAGGUAUUUUAGUUCAAACCGGAUUGAGUUACGUUUUCAAGUCUGAAAGGCGUAUUUCACAAGGGCGCUUUGGACCGCGGGUUGAACUUUAAAUCUUCCAGGGACUCUUUAGCAAAAACGCGAAUGAAGAGGUAUGUUCUAUUGUGAGCCGUUGAAACUCGAUCUGAUGGUUCAGAAUACAUCGAGGAGAUGGGAGACCAACUGCCGGCGGCGCACAGGGGCUAUACAGUGGCUCCAUGGCCGGAAAAGCGCAGAGCUCGCCGGAGAUGGUGGAGAAGGCACUAGGAAGCUCGGUUUUCGACGGAAAAAGUUCCGGGAGCAAGAGAGGACCAUCGCGAACUCACCUAGGGUGCUAUCAGAGCUCGAGGAGAUCUCGGGGGAGGUGCGCGACGCAAAACUGCGGACGCCGAGUCCUCCUGCAGGUUCGGCGUUGAUUAGGGGUGGAUAGGGGCCAAAAGAGAGCGAAAGAAGUAGCGUGGUAACUUCGUUACCUAGUUGCGAGGCUCGGCAAAGGGUUUUCAUGAACCGAAGAGCAACGAGGAUUUGCACCGGCGACGGCGGCUCUUCUCUGCGCCUGGAGAGAUCCAAAUCAAGGAUUUCAGGUGGCUAAGCGGCUUGGGGUGCUGCACAGAUGGCAAAAGGGAGUCGUGGAAGAGGGCACGAAGCUUUAUAGCGACCUAGGGCGUAUAUUGGCAAAGAAUCCCGGGAAACCUGGGAUUGGGCACCGGGUUCGUGUCCUGCUCGGCCACGGCUCACGGUAGAAGAAAGGUAGGGAGGAGGAAGACACUGCCGCGUGGGGCCUAGUCGUCAGCGAGAGAGAGAGAGCGGGUCCCAGCUGACAGCGAAACAGAGGAAAGGAGGGGGGCGCGCCACUCGGGCCGAACGAGCUGGGCCGGGGUCCGAACAGAGGGAGGGUUUUGGUUUGUUUUUUCUUUUUCUUUUAUUCCAAAGCCAUUUGAAACUCAUUUAAAAAUCCUUUUAAAUUAUUUUGAAUUUUGAGUAAAAAAACACUCAGCACAAUAAAUAAAAUGCAGAAGCAUGAGUGCACAAAAAUGUUGCUACACCCUAUGAUAAAUUUUAUUUUGAUGAAGAUUAUUAUUUCCAUUGUUUCAUGAGCACAAAAAUUCAUAAUUAAAUUAUUUUAGCUCUAUUUUCCACAAAACAAUUUUUAGGGUGUUACAAAUCUACCCCCUUAAAAUGAAUCUCGUCCUCGAGAUUCGAAAGAGACACAGAUUCCUCUGAGAGAACACAGGAUAAAGAUCUUGAUAACUAUUUUAACUUCACAACUUGUAUUCCAGUGUAAACACUUAUGUCUCAAGAUCACAACUUGUGAACAAAACUUCCAUAAAAUAUCUAUUAUUCAUAGCUCAUUAAAAUCCAUCUUGACUACCAACUUUUUGACUUAUACAACUCAAAGACAUGAUAACUUAGCAUGGGUAUGCCUCCUCAGGUUGGAGUGGACCACCUUGAUACUCAAUUCUUUUCCCUGAUGGUGCAGUUAAGAAAAUUUUCCACUGGGUAGCAUAGAUCACUGCCUUAUGUGCACAUAACCAUCCAUUGCCAAGAACCAAAGGAAUAUUGAGUGACUCUAGCACAAUGAGGUUUACAGUGAAGUUUUCCUUCUUUAUGACAAGAUUGAUAUUUGAGCAAACCUGAUCUGCCUGUAUUUCUCCCAUUGGGGUUUGAACUAACAAAGGCUUUGUCGUCGGACACUUCACCCGUUCGAUUGUCUUUACCAAGUCGGCGGAUAUGAAAGAAUGCGAAGCACUUCGGUCAAACAGAGCAAAAACUAGUACUGAGUCCACUUGAAUAUAGCCUCCCACCACUUUGGUGGCUCCUUGAAUGUUAUGCCUAUCCACAUUGUUCAGUCUUCCAUUGAUAUAAUUUUGCUGUACUUUAUUUCCAGGAGCGGGCUUCUUACGAGCUUUCCUUUUACGCUUCCGCCGUUGUGGAUUUUGAUUUGAUUCAUUGUCAACUUGCUCUUCAAUAUUAUUAUUUUGAUAACACUCAGCUUUGUCAUACUCAUAGCAUCUUUCUUCAAAGGCAAAAUGAUCAUAUUCUUCCCACCUAUCCAUAAGAGGUAUCAUAUUGUGCUCCGGAUUCAUGGGACACUACACUCCCUGUCAUCAGGUGACCAACGUCAGUAACACGGCAAGGAUAGAUGAUCAUAACCAUAUAAUAUCUUAGAAGACAAUUAUCACUCCAAGCUAGUCUUAAAAUGCAUCACCCGUGAUAUCAAGGUACUACCCCCCUUAAAAUUAGAUUGAUUGGAGAGACAUUAGGGACUAGUCCUCAUAACCUUUUUAAAUGCUACACAUCAUAUAGUCUUUAAAAUUCGCUGUACCGAGUCUCUUGAUCCAUCCAACAUUAUCCAAUUCUUUUCCAUGUAACCCCCUUAUUUGGGCUACCCCCCUUAGUAAAAGUCAUCUAGGGGGCACAAGAAAGGUAGCUUGCAUGUUUUCCCGGCAGGUUAACUAACAUUGAGAACCUCUGACAUCCCAAAGAACUUAUGUGUAAGGGGAGAACAAACAGGUAUCCUGAAUUUUUCUCAUGAUAUGAAAACACUAGCGUAGUAUAAUACAUAUAACUCUUAUUCUGUCAAUCCAACAGAGUUAUAGCUUAUACCUUUAGAAAACUUAUGAAAUUCUCUACCACUUUCAUGUAGAAGACCUCCUUAGAUUCUUUCUUUAAACUUAGGUAAAACAACCAAACAUAAUCUCCUUCCUGAUAAUGUCUCAGCAAAGGUGCAGUAACUUCCAGAAGUUAUAUCCCGAGCUACUUAACUCAUCUGGAGAUGAUCCUUAUGUUUUUGAAAAGUUUAGGAAAUCCUCUACAACUUUCAUAUACAACAUUUUCCCAGAUUCUGAAGUUAAUUUGGCUGAAAUUAGAAAAAUGCCAGAUCUGUCUAAAUUUUGAAACAGAACAGGAACAUCCAAUUGUAAAUAUCAUAUCUCAGGUUCUACUUAUCCAAAUAAGUUCCAGCUUAUACCAUUGGAAAGAAUAGAAAAUUUUCUACAACUUUUCUAUAGAAUACUUUUCCAAAUUCUAUAGUUAUAUAUGUCUAAAAUAGUAAGCAACCGAAACUGGUCCAGGUUCUUGACAGCACAGUUGUAUCAUCUUGUGAUUUUUGUAACUUCCAAACCAUAAAAGCUAUGAGGAUGAUUCUUGUGGUCAGUGAAAUAUCUUGAAGUCUAUUUGUUCUCAGAAAAAUUUGAUAAACCUUGCAUGAUCAGAACUUGAGAUACACUAGCUUUAUUGCAGACUGCUCCAGAAAUCAGCAAGGGAUAGAAACAAGAGAUAGCCAAACCCAACUACUUAUUUCAUUGAUCCUUAUGCCUUAGGUCCAUAAACUAAUGAAGUUGUGGAGAAAUCCCACAAGAUCAUUGCAAUCAUUACAAAGAUCCAAAUCAAGCAUAAGCAUAAUAACAAACCAACUAAGCACACUUCACUCAAUUUGCGAUACGAUCGUUCUCUUCAUAGUAAGGGUAGAGAUCUUAAAACACCUAUGCCAAUGAUGCCAGAAGGUGGUAAGAAAAAGUUUUAAAAGCAUGUCAAGCAAGGAGUGGGGAUGAGAACAAGUCUUUAAAAUAAGCAACAAGGUAGAGAGGAAUAGCAAGGGUAGAGAUAUAGUAUGGAUGAAAAUACCAAGGUUUUUAGAGCAAGGAUUUUAUGAUAAUUCAAAACCUUAAGACGACCAAUUUCCAACUAGGCUUGCGUCCUACAGUCAGCAUUGCUCUGAUACCACUUUGUAAUACCUGAUUUUAAGGACAAAACCAGAUAUGCACCAUAUGUGAGUCUUAUAAGUCGAAUCUCACAUAUAGCUACAAAUAAGAGGUAAUAUCAAAAGACAAUGCAUAAAUUAUAUAACGUACAUAAUAAAUUAGAGAUAACCUUAGGCAGCAAACAACGGAAGAUACUCCAAACUUCGGGUAUUAACUUCACUCUACAGGAUCCAACUAACUGGUUGAUCACAAGCCUAAACUCCUCCUGAGGUGUGGGGGAAAUAGCAAGAGUGAGUCCAUGUCGAACUCCACAAGUAUAGCAACUAGAUUGUAUAGCUCCCACAUCUCAUGAUCAAUGUGACAUAAAUUAUGUAAAGCAUUAAAUAAUAAAUAAUAGGCAUAUUUAACACACAAGAAUCAUCAUCGUCGAUGCAAGAAUCCCCAAGGCCGCUCCUGACCGUGAGCUCGGCUAGUAUACUAGUUUUUAACCCUCUGCAGAGGUUGCACAUCUUCACCCAUGAGUCAUGAUUUACCCUUUCGCCCGAGGUAGCAAGUCUCUUAACCCCCUUCCUAGGGAGGUCGGCAGGGAUCACUAUGAAGUCUUUCAAAGGUUCGUCUAACAAGUUAGGGCCGCUUGGUUUCAUUAGUCAGUCCGUGUGAUUCACCCACAGGAAUCCACGGUCUGCUAUUCCCCAAUUGCGCCACAACGGGUAACCGCUAACGAGCUAGAAAAGUUACUCAUACUUAACUAAAGCCAGAGCCAUUAUAGCCCUCAUGGUUGCACUGUUAUCCCGGUUAUCACUUACAGAUAAAUCAUCAAGUGGCUAAAAAGUCAUUUUUAUCAUUUAUUACUUAACAUUAAUCUAGUCACAGGAUCAUGGUCACAGAAAUAAAAUCCAAAUGCUAUACUUGCCUCAAUCCAAAUACUCUUGCUGAUCUUGCUAGUUGCCCAAGGCUCUGAUCUUGAUCGAUGAAGUACUCUGGUUCACCACGAAUUGCUCACCGUCUAAUUCGAUCAUCGAUCACACAAACAAUCGAAGAAAACAUACACGAAGCAAACAAAGCUACAAUUAGAACAGUACACCAAUUAUAUAAAAACAGUAUGAAAAGUUUAUAAAAAUAUUCUACGCAUCGCUACGAUUUCAUAGACGUAAAGAUCACGAAAAUAGGAGCUAAAACGAAGAAGUUAUGAAUUUUCUAAGAUUUUAUAUAGAAAAGUAAUUAAUUAAUUAAAGUCACAUAAUUAAAAAGUUUCAAACUGAGUAAAUAAUUUUACUAACAUGUAGAGCUCAUGAUUAUGAACCUAACGCAAUUUGAAUGGACAAAAACGGAGUUAAAAUGAGUAUUUUAUAAGCAAAGCAGUUUCAGUGGCAAACUUGUAAAUUCAGAAAACGUAUUUUAGUUCAAACCUCAUUGAGUUACGUUUUCAAGUCUGAAAGGCGUAUUUCACAAGGGCGCUUUGGACCGCGGGUUGAACUUUAAAUCUUCCGGGGACUCUUUAGCAAAAAUGCGAAUGAAGGGGUAUGUUCUAUUGUGAGCCGUUGAAACUCGAUCUGAUGGUUUAGAAUACAUCCAGGAGAUGGGAGACCAACUGCCGGCGGCGCACAGGGGCUAUACGGUGGCUCCAUGGCCGGAAAAGCACAGAGCUCGCCGGAGAUGGUGGAGAAGGCACUAGGAAGCUCGGUUUUCGACGGGAAAAGUUCCGGGAGCAAGAGAGGACCAUCGCGAACUCACCUAGGGUGCUAUCGGAGCUCGAGGAGAUCUCGGGGGAGGCGCGCGACACAAAACCGCAGACGGCGAGUCCUCCUGCAGGUUCAGCAUUGAUUAGGGGCGGAUAGCGGCCAAAAGAGAGCGAAGGAAGUAGCGUGGUAACUUCGUUACCUAGUUGCGAGGCUCGGCAAAUGGUUUUCAUGAACCGGAGAGCAACGAGGAUCGGCACCGGCGACGGCGGCUCUUCUCUGCGCCUGGAGAGAUCCAAAUCAAGGAUUUCAGGCGGCUAAGCAGCUCGGGGUGUUGCACAGAUGGCAAAAGGGAGUCGCGAAAGAGGGCACGAAGCUUUAUAGCGACCUAGGGCGUAUAUUGGCAAAGAAUCCCGGGAAACCUGGGAUUGGGCACCGGGUUCGUGUCCUGCUCGGCCACGGCUCACGGUAGAAGAAAGGUAGGGAGGAGGAAGACACUGCCGCGUGGGGCCUAGUCGUCAGCGAGAGAGAGUGAGCGGGUCCCAGCUGACAGCGAAACAGAGGAAAGGAGGGGGGGCGCGCCACUCGGGCCGAACAAGCUGGGCCGGGGUCCGAACAGAGGGAGGGUUUUGGUUUGUUUUUUUUUUCUUUUUCUUUUAUUCCAAAGCCAUUUGAAACUCAUUAAAAAUCCUUUUAAAUUAUUUUGAAUUUUGAGUAAAAAAACACUCAGCACAAUAAAUAAAAUGUAGAAGCAUAAGUGCACAAAAAUGUUGCUACACCCUAUGAUAAAUUUUAUUUUGAUGAAGAUUAUUAUUUCCAUUGUUUCAUUGUUGACGGUCCUUAAGUAUCAAAUUUAAUAAUCAAAUAAAUAAAGAAAAGGAUCCAAAUGAAAUCAAGAUCUAGACUUAGGGUUUUAUCUGAUAGAAUUCCAUGAGUUUUGGUGUUUUCCUAUUUCUGCACGGGGUUAUCAGGAAAUAUGGAAGAAAGGCCCACAUGUCGGGAUUACGUAAAGAUAUUAACGUGUCGCGCAAUUAUCUUACAUCUAGAAGACUCCAGAAGCCACGAGACCGAAGCGGAGGCGAAACGGGGCCAGAGGCAGGGUGCCCGCCCUGUCCUACUGGGCGCCCGCCCCCUCCAGGAGUCCAAUCAGGACUCUGCUUCGCGGGAGAUCUCCACCGACCUAAAGGAUGAAUCUAAACCAUACAAUCUAUGUCGGUUUGAUCCAAUGGCCCAUAUUCACUUGAAGGGACUAUAAAACCAGACCCCCUGGCCCCUGUGGAGAGAGCCUCUCAACCCUAAUUCAUUGUUCCAUCAAGGGAGAAGAAGCCUCUGAUCAAGAUUAGAGCCACCACAUCAAUUAGAUAUCUAGAUUAGCAUAGCUACAUAGGAUUAGAACUAGAAGGAGUCAAUCUUCGAUUGGUUUCCGGAUCUGUCAAGAGGAUUCUUGGUAAUUCUCUAAUUGUGCUUCUAAUUGCUUUCUAAUUAUCUUUGUUCUUCAAUAUUAUGAAUAUGACUUUGUUCUACUUCAAUAUAUUGCUUAUGAAUUUGCUCUACUUGUUUAUAUUCAAGAUUAUAUUGUUCUUAGUUUAUCAUAGUUAUAUACUUGGCUUAGUUAGAUUCGAUCUAUAUACAUGCUUAGGAUCGUAUAGCGUUUAUCCAUCGGAUCCAUGGGUAAAUGAUAGAUAUUGUGUAGGCGUGGUGCUUAUACCGUAUUUAUCUGCGAUUGUACCCAAUAUGCCAGAUCGUGGGGUGGUUCGUGAUAGUGACAGCUUCAUUGAUUCUUAUAUAGUCCCCCUCUCGUGUAUUGGGCUGGCAGAGCAACAUUAUUACAGGGGAGUGAUUGCUAUGUUUCUCAUAUUCCUUGCUAAUAUCACUAUGCAUGGGCGUAGUCUUGUCUCGCAAUGAUUGCUAAGUAUGCUUGCACUAACUAUGAUAUGCUAGACUAUAUAGUUAAGAAUAACUUAGGGAAUAUUCUUGUAGUUCGUUCUAAUACCAUGCUAAUGACUUUCUAGAGUAUCUAAUUGAGGUGCUUAUCAUAUUUAUUAUGUGGCUAGAUCAGAUUAGUUAUCCUUGUCACUAUUAUUAUUUCAUAUAUCUUUUAUGUGACACUUAUCCCUGUAUCAAGAGUUAGAUAUAAUGUUCUCAAUUAUACAUGCAAUGAUAGAUGCUCAAUCUCAUAUUCUAUUCUGUAAUCAAUAGUGAUGAUUGCUAAUCCCUUCCCAGUGGUAAAAAUAUAAAUAACGAUACCUGGAAUACUUCCCGGUUAAAAUGCUGCAUCGGUAUUAAUCUGUGCGUUUGCAGAUCCCAUUCAUUAUUUAUUUAGAAGAGCAAUUGCAUAUUUCAAUACCGCGUCUCUUAUAUCAUGCUGGGGAUGACAACUUGGCUUAAGUGGUGUGAGGGAUAGGUUUGGCAUUUUUGGCAUCGUUGCUAGAUUUAGAGAACUUAGUCUACUUUUGGUAAUGAUGUUAAGAAUACCCAACAUUCAUGAGCACAAAAAUUCAUAAUUAAAUUAUUUUAGCUCUAUUUUCCACAAAACAAUUUUUAGGGUGUUACAUCUCCGUUCUAGUUGUCCUGGGAUUCGUUGGGUGGUGUAGUCGGUGCUUCCGGCAGCGCCUCCUCUUCAUGUAUUGUUAUCUUCUCUUUCCACACCUGACUCGGUGCUACGGUCUCCUCUGGAUAAUUCUAUUUAAACUGUAUGUCUUCUGACCUCACCACUUCUCCUUCAUAGUCUGCCCAUCUGUCCUUGAUGAUUUGCCUCCUCUGGUUGCGGUUGCGUCGUUUUCUGACCUGCUUAGAGUCUUCAACGAUAUAGUUAGGGUCAGUAAAAUAGCGGCGUACCAUCACAACCGGAAGGAUUAGAAUCUGCAAAUCUUGUAGACAUGUUUGAUGCAGGUAAUUGGAGUAACCCCGUCACUGAAUUCUCUACUGACCUUCUGCCGGUCAAGAGAGGCGAUCCAGGACGCCCCGUCAUCCCGAUCUCUAUCGGCAUGGUGGACGUUCCAGAAGCACUCUGCGACUUUGGCUCUAGCGUCAACAUUAUACCCAGGGUACUCUAUGAAAAAUUCUUUACAUAUCCUUUAUUAGAAACAACCAUGUGUUUGCAGUUUGCAGAUCAGACGAUAACUUUUCCAAAAGGAAUAGUGAAGAACCUUUGUGUCCGAGUUGGUACCUUAUAUGCCCCAGCAGACUUCGUAGUGGUAGAGACCGGAAAUGAUGAGAGAGCACCUAUCAUCCUAGGGAGGCCAUUCUUGAACACCACGGGAGCUAUCAUCUACGCCAGUGCUGCCAAGAUCAGUUUCUACGUCAAAGGGAACAAGGAGACAUUUUUCUUCAAGAACAAGACUACACAAAUUCAAGAUCAAUCCAGACGUAAAUCAAGGAAGAGGACCAACAGGAGAAACAAGAACAAGCAAGUGUGGACUGAGUCAGCUAAGAUGGUCACUGUAGUCCAUGGAGGCCAAGAUCACCAACUUAAGUCACCGUUUUUGACCAAGAAGGACGACCCAGGAAUGCCAAGCAUUUACUGCUCCAUAAAUGGAUACAACUUCUACAAGACAUUUUGUGACACCGGAUCGGGCGUCAACAUAAUAGCCGCAGUCACCUAUCGGCUCUUAUUCGGAACCAUGCCACUAAAACCAACAUACAUUCAACUCCAGAUGGCAGAUCAGACAUUUCGAGAAGUUAAAGGAACAGUAACGGAUGUCCCAAUCAAAAUAGACGAUCACUUUGUCUACACAGACUUUCAAGUUAUUGACAUGGGAGAAGACGAGUACGAUCCACCCAUCAUCCUUGGAAGACCGUUCCUCAGCACCGUUAAAGCAAUUAUCUACAUUGGAACCGGAGAAGUUCAUAUGCACUUCCCCUCAGAGAAGGUACGCCGUUAUUUUACUGACCCUAACUAUAUCAUUGAAGAAUCUAACCAGGUAAGAAAGAGAAGCAACCGCAACCAGAGGAGGCAGAUCAUCAAGGACGGAUGGGCAGACUAUGAAGGAGAAGUUAUAAGAUCAGAAGACGUUGAGUUUAAACAGAAUUAUCCAGAGGAGAUUGAAGCACCGAGUCAGGUAUGGAAAAUGAAGAUAACUAUACAUGAAGAGGAGGCACUGCCGGAAGUACCGACUACGCCACCCAACGAACCUCAGGACGAUUAAGAAAAUGGAGAGUCCCGUUCGGAGGACUUAAAAACACCGAACGCCUUGCCAAGAGGUAAACUUGGUAGUUAUCCUUUCCCUUUCAAUUAUUUCAAUUAUUUUAAAUAGUUUACUUAGUUAAUUAUGUUCGUAUUAUCCUAAAAAGAAAAUAAAAAAUGUGAAAAACAGUAAGCCCCAUGAGAGUAGACGAGUGGCAUAAAACCCAUAAGUACAUUCACUGUGGUGGCAUAAAAAUAAAAUAACUAUUUUUCUGCUCUAUAAAAACAAAAAUAUAAAAACAGGGAGUAAAAUUUAUUAAGGAGUCUCAAGAUAAUAAAGGCUAGAUAUUUAUGCUAACACUUAAUCAGUUCCACAAGCUUUGUUGUCUAUUUGAACUCCACAGAAUUUAAGAGUCAAGAAGACUAGCAGACGGAGGACAUUCUAAUCGCUGUCAGAAUGCUGCUGACUUUCAAAUACACCUCUGCCACCUGCUAGCUACAUCAAGAGAAAUUACGUCAAAAUUCAGCUUGGGGGAGAGCACCCCCAUUUAUCUCGAUAAGUAUUUCUAUCUAUCUUUAUACUUAUUUUAGAAUAUAAAUACACAUAAACUAUGAAAAACCAAAUAAAGAUUUUAUGCUUAUAUAUAUAUAUGUCUUUUGCUUAGUGUGUUUAAUAAAUAAAUAAAUAAAGUGGCUAUGCUAAUCUGUAUCUAAAUAAAACUUGAGCAUGGAUAUGAUAAAUAGUUGCUCUGCCUAAUUUGCACAUUUUAAGUUCUCUCUCAAGUUUAGAUAUAACUGUUAUAAUUUAAGGCUUGCUCUAGACCUAAACUUGUGGGAUGAAAACUUGAUCUAAAGUCUAAGUUGUUAAUGGAUAUGAUAUGGGAAGGUUGAGCUGCUGUUUAUCUGUUCCUAGAGAUGCUAGAAUUCUGGAGAAUUUUAUCUUUGAAAAUUUUUAAAAUGUUGCAUGAUGAGUUCCUGUAUGAUGAGAGUUUAAAUUCCUACCACAGCCAUAUAUAUACAUGCUUGCUAGACUUUGAGCCACACAUUUACUAUUUACUGCUUAUGAGCAUUGAGUGUGGUCAAGCUGUGUAGACCCUUAGGAGCUUGUCAUGUGGUUAAAUCAAGAUUUCACUUGCACGUUCACUCAUGCAUGCUACUUCUACUCCAGAAGUACCAUCCACAUAUAUCCAUCCAUUUCCAUCUCCAGAAUCACCCAAAAAUAUUCUACUCCUAAUCCGGGAGAGAAUAACCAAAAAUAUUUUUGUUUUCCCCUUGUGAAAUAAAUGCUCAAGUUAUCUUGUUACUACCACUUGCUAUAUUAUCUCAAGAGAUGAAUGCUCUGAAAAAAAAAGAAAGAAAAAGAUACGAGGAAAUAAAAAGGAGCAAGUGCUCGGAACCUCGAAAGAAAAGAAAAAAAAAGUGAGACGAGAGGUAAAAAUGGACAAGUGUCCGACAGUAGAAUUAGGGGUGCAAGAUACCCACCGGAGAGAAAAGAAAAAGAAGAGCAUCUCAUUCUCCUCAUAAAAUUUCAAAAAAGCAAGGAAGGUAUGUAUCCCCUCAAAGAGCAAAGUAGAAUUAGACAUCCACCACCAUUGUUCUCACCAUUGUUGUCACCAUCAUCACCAUAUACCAUUCAUUCGCCACACAUGCACAUCUAGAUUUGGCUUAUUGAUUUGUUUCUUUGGAUCCAUGGUUUGAUUAUGCAAUAAAUAUCUUGUAAGUAUGUAUACUUUAUCUCCCACCUAUGAGCUCCAGAUAUAAAAGCCUUAUUAGAGUAGGGUGAGAGAGAAGACAAUGUCAUUAUGCUUCAUACCACAAAUACCACAUAUUUUGAGAGAAGGCAUAUACCAUCACUGCCUUGGUAAGGAUCUAGAAAUACCACAAAAGAGAGAUCCGAGAGAAUCAUACAAGGAAUCUCUAAGUUUUAUUUGAAAAUCUGCAAAAACCCCAAAGCUAUAGCUGAUCAAGAAUAAGAGAAAUGGCACUUGGCUAGACUGUUCUAUCUUUUAACCUCUCAAGACAGAAGUGACGGUUACAAGUCCCAUGGUGUAGGUAAAGUAAGUAAGUUUUAAGUCUUGACAGUUUACUCUAACUCAGAGAUGAGAUCUUAUUUAAAAGCAUGUGUACCGUCAAAAUUUUUAAAGAUAUUGCAACAACUUAUGAUCCAUAGCUGAGUCUAUCCUUGCUCAGGGACGAGCAAGAGGUAAGCUUGGGGGAGUUUGUUGACAGUCCUUAAGUAUCAAAUUUAAUUAUCAAAUAAAUAAAGAAAAGGAUCCAAAUGAAAUCAAGAUCUAGACUUAGGGUUUUAUCUGAUAGAAUUCCACGAGUUUUGGUGUUUGUCUAUUUCUGCAGGGGGUUAUCAGGAAAUAUGGAAGAAAGGCCCACAUGUCGGGAUUACGUAAAGAUAUUAACGUGCCGCGCAAUUAUCUUACAUCUAGAAGACUCCAGAAGCCACGAGACCGAAGCGGAGGCGAAACGGGGCUAGAGGCAGGGCGCCCGCCCUGUCCUACUGGGCGCCCGCCCCCUCCAGGAGUCCAAUCAGGACUCUGCUUCGCGGGAGAUCUCUACCGACCUAAAGGAUGAAUCUAAACCAUACAAUCUAUGUCGGUUUGAUCCAACGACCCAUAUUCACUUGAAGGGACUAUAAAACCAGACCCCCUGGCCCCUGGAGGAGAGAGCCUCUCAACCCUAAUUCAUUGUUCCAUCAAGAGAGAAGAAGCCUCUGAUCAAGAUUAGAGCCACCACAUCAAUUAGAUAUCUAGAUUAGCAUAGCUACAUAGGAUUAGAACUAGAAGGAGUCAAUCUUCGAUUGGUUUCCGGAUCUGUCAAGAGGAUUCUUGGUAAUUCUCUAAUUGUGCUUCUAAUUGCUUUCUAAUUAUCUUUGUUCUUCAAUAUUAUGAAUAUGACUUUGUUCUAAUUCAAUAUAUUGCUUAUGACUUUGCUCUACUUGUUUAUAUUCAAGAUUAUAUUGUUCUUAGUUUAUCAUAGUUAUGUACUUGGCUUAGUUAGAUUCGAUCAAUAUACGUGCUUAGGAUCGUAUAGCGUUUAUCCAUCGGAUCCAUGGGUAAAUGAUAGAUAUUGUGUAGGCGUGGUGCUUAUACCGUAUUUAUCUGCGAUUGUACCCAAUAUGCCAGAUCGUGGGGUGGUUCGUGAUAGUGACAGCUUCAUUGAUUCUUAUAUAGUCCCCCUCUCGUGUAUUGGGCUGGCACAGCAAUAUUAUUACAGGGGAGUGAUUGCUAUGUUUCUCAUAUUCCUUGCUAAUAUCACUAUGCAUGGGCGUAGUCUUGUCUCGCAAUGAUUGCUAAGUAUACUUGCACUAACUAUGAUAUGGUAGACUAUAUAGUUAAGAAUAACUUAGGGAAUAUUCUUGUAGUUCGUUCUAAUACCAUGCUAAUGACUUUCUAUAGUAUCUAAUUGAGGUGCUUAUCAUAUUUAUUAUGUGGCUAGAUCAGAUUAGUUAUCCUUGUCACUAUUAUUAUUUCAUAUAUCUUUUAUGUGACACUUAUCCCUGUAUGAAGAGUUAGAUAUAAUGUUCUCAAUUAUACAUGCAAUGAUAGAUGCUCAAUCUCAUAUUUUAUUCUGUAAUCAAUAGUGAUGAUUGCUAAUCCCUUCCCAGUGGUAAAAAUAUAAAUAACGAUACCUGGAAUACUUCCCGGUUAAAAUGCUGCAUCGGUAUUAAUCUGUGCGCUUGCAGAUGCCAUUCAUUAUUUAUUUAGAAGAGCAAUUGCAUAUUUCAAUACCGCGUCUCUUAUAUCAUGCUGGGGAUGACAACUGGCUUAAGUGGUGUGAGGGAUAGGUUUGGCAUUUUUGGCAUCGUUGCUAGAUUUAGAGAACUUAGUCUACUUUUGGUAAUGAUGUUAAGAAUACCCAACAUUCAUGAGCACAAAAAUUCAUAAUUAAAUUAUUUUAGCUCUAUUUUCCACAAAACAAUUUUUAGGGUGUUACAUCUCCGUUCUAGUUGUCCUGGGAUUCGUUGGGUGGUGUAGUCGGUGCUUCCGGCAGCGCCUCCUCUUCAUGUAUAGUUAUCUUCUCUUUCCACACCUGACUCGGUGCUACGGUCUCCUCUGGAUAAUUCUAUUUAAACUGUAUUUCUUCUGACCUCACCACUUCUCCUUCAUAGUUUGCCCAUCCGUCCUUGAUGAUUUGCCUCCUCUGGUUGCGGUUGCGUCGUUUUCUGACCUGCUUAGAGUCUUCAACGAUAUAGUUAGGGUCAGUAAAAUAGCGGCGCACCUUCUCUUAGGGGAAGUGCAUGUGGACUUCUCCAGUUCCAAUGUAGAUCAUUGCUUUAACGGUGCUAAGGAACGGUCUUCCAAGGAUGAUGGGUGGAUCAUAUUCGUCUUCUCCCAUGUCAAUAACCUAAAAGUCUGUGUAGACGAAAUGAUCGUCUAUUUUGACAGGGACAUCAGUUACUAUACCUUUAACCUCUCAAAAUGUCUGAUCUACCAUCUGGAGCUGAAUGUAUGUUAGUUUUAAGGGCAUGGUUCCGAACAAGAGCCGAUAGGUGACUGCGGCCAUUAUGUUGACGCCCGAUCCGGUGUCGCAAAACGUCUUGUAGAAGUUGUAUCAGUUUAUGGAGAAAUAGAUGCUUGGAAUUCCUGGGUCGUCCUUUUUGGUCAGAAACGGUGACUUAAGUCGAUGAUCUUGACCUUCAUGAACUGCAGUGACCAUCUUAGCUGGCUCGGUCCACAUUUGCUUGUUCCUGUUCCUCCUGUUGGUCCUCUUCCUUGGUUCAUGUCGGGAUUGCUCUGAGAUUUGUGUAGUCUUGUUCUUGAAGGAAAACGUCUCCUUCAUCCCUUUGAUGUAGAAACUGAUCUUGGCAGCACUAGCAUAUAUGACAGCUCCCGAGGUGUUCAAGAAUGGCCUUCCUAAGAUGAUGGGUGCCCUCUCAUCAUUACCGGUCUCUAUCACCACGAAGUCUGCUGGGGCGUACAAGGUACCAAAUCGGACACAAUGGUUCCUCAAUAUUCCUUUUGGAAAACUUAAUGCCUGAUCUGCAAACUGCAAACACAUGGUUGUUUCUAAUAAAGGAUAUGUAAAGAAUUUUUCAUAGAGUACCCUGGGCAUAAUGUUGACACUAGAGCCAAAGUCGCAGAGUGCUUCUGGGAAGUCCACCAUGUCGAUUGAGAUCGGGAUGACGGGGCGUCCUGGAUCGCCUCUCUUGACCGGCAGAAGGUCAGUAGUAACUUCAGGGACGGGGUUACUCCAGUAGUUACCUGCUUCAAACAUGUCUACAAGAUUUGUAGAUUCUAAUCCUUCCAGUUGUGAUGGUAUACCGGGGUUAGUAGUAGGAACAGCAUCGGCUAUUUGAUUUAACUGAGAUUCAAUCAUCUUAUUAAAGCUAAUUUGAUUCUUGAUAGCAGUAGCGAAAUUAUCCAUUCUAUUAUUUAUAUUUUCUAGCAUUUUAUCAUUAGAUGCCAAUUUCUUAGAUAGGUUAUCUAUUAGCUUUCCUUGAUUAGACACUAACUCUCUCAGCGGUGAAAAAUUAUUAUUAUUGUUGUAAGAAUUGUUACCUUGAUAAUUUCCUGAGUAGUUAGGCCUCUGUUGAUUCCAACCAUGAUUUUGUUGAGGACGAUUGUAGUUGUUGUUGUUAUUGUUGAUGUAGUUUACAUCCUCAAGUAUCUUAGGGCAGUGAUUGCCUGAGUGUCCAGUAUCUCCACACUCCUCACAAGUCCUGUGAGAGUCGUAGAUGUGCAUAACUUCUUUGUUAUCUCCAGCUCUAUCAUCGAGCUUCUUCAUGAGCGGGUCCAGCUUUGGUUGGACGCCAUCUUCUCCACAAGAGCUGUGGCUUGUGAUAUGGUGAGUGAUAGGAAUGCUCCUCCAGAUGCAACAUCCAUGGUCUCUCAGGCACUGUUGCUGAGCCCAUGAUAAAACGUCUACGUCAGUAGCCAACUCUCCGUUCCAUGAUGGGGACAUUCUAGGAUGUAGUCUUGGAAGCGCUCCCAUGCUUCUGUAACGGUUUCAUCAUGUUGUUGCUGAAAACUCGUAAUCUUCCCACGGAGAGCAUUGGUCUUGCCCAUGGGAAAGAACUGUUGACACCGUUUUUUGACACGUAUCUCUGGGUACGUAUAUAGAGUUAAUGAAGCGUAGAUCGGUAGAUUGGGCGAUGGUGGCUAGUCUGUAGGGAAGUUGCCGAUGGAGGAUGGUGCCGAUAGAGGAACAACUCAGUAUGGCUAAGUCCAGGAGUGGUGAUGCCGAUGACCAGUGCUGGUAUUUACCGAUGGAGGCAACAGGCAGUCUGCCGAUGACUCUGAAGAUAAAUGCGGAAGUUACCGAUUGAAUCGUGGCGGUGUCCCGGUCGGUUACGGGGGAUAGUUUAAUGUUUUCCUUAGUUAUUAGAAUUCGUUUUGUGUACGGUUUCCGUUUAAUUUGGAAUUUGAGUCCUAGUCGUGUCUGGUUGUAAUUCUUCGGACAGGGUAUAAAUGUAGACCCUAGGGCAAUGUAAUGAGACAAUCUAUCAAUCAAUCAAACACAAGUUUUUAAUCAUAUUCCAACAUCUACUUUUUCGAUGACUUCGUCAUAUUUUCUUUUUACUACGAGUUCUUAGGAAUUCGUCGAGUCAAACUCGGCGUGUUCUCAAGUUCCACGUGAUCACCUCUUGACCGUGGCAUCCGGGCGUAUCGCUGUUGUCGGGACCAAAGUGGUCGAGUUACCACCUUUGUCGAUUGUAAGGUCAAAUCGGCUGGCACGCCUUAACAUUUGAAUCAGGUAUUAGCCCUUUGUGUUUGCAGAUUACUUUUGCACCAACACAUUUUUUGGCACGCCCAGUAGGACCUAUUCAAGAUCAAGAUCAACAUGUCGAACACCAAUUUCGACUUGGAGAACGUUAUCCCAGUGACGGAAGCCAAUCUCAGAGAUGAGCAGAAGCAAGCUAUGGCAAAAGCCAUGGAGGAGUACAAGCAGCAAUGCUUGAAUGCUUCAGUAUCAACAGGAGUGGCGAGGUGAUCCAAAAGGAAGCAUUACGGGCACCUCGGCAGAUUACUUUUGAAGCCAAUCCUGGUAAACUUCAAGACAUAGUUGACAAUGCUAUUAACCGUGCCUUGAUCAAUCAAGCUGGUGUGCUGUCCAACACGGUUUUCAAUGCCAUGGCCAGUACUUUCAAGGAAGGACAAUUGCCACCGAAUUAUGUUGGUCCUGCCUAUCAUCAGCCAGGGUCAUCAUUGGUCACGGCUCCAUCGGCUACUACAGCCGUUGCGGGUACAGAAGUUACUUCUCCUCUAAGCACAUUAGGGAUCACUAAUGCGCAAUCUACACCAAUGAUGACCAAUCCAUCAACAUCAGACGAGUCAAUCAAGCUUGCUACAGCUCUAUUGGCAUCGGCAAUGUCAGGUUCUGUUCCUCCUAACUGGUGGGGUAAUGGCAUGCCCCCAAAUUUGAUGGCAAAGACUCCUGGGAAAUCUCAUGUGGCUGAUUUGACAGGCAAGGCUCCUAUGACAUCGGCACCUCCAAAUCCGCCAAUGAAUCAGAGUCCCCAAUAUACUACAACUACUACUGCAAGACCUUACACUGGGAAUUCUCAAGCUCCAAUGUUCUAGAUGCCUAAUGCAUCGGCGGAUUCAAUGCCGACGCAACAGAGGUUUAUGACACAACUAGGGUAUGUCAAUUCAAUGAUGAUGCCCAAUUAUCAGUCAUCGGCAGGGCUUAUGCCGAUGAAUGCUAACAGUGGAUGGACAGGACAGUUAGUCUUUCCACAGACACCUCAACAGAGUCACCAAGCUGCAGGGUUUCAACAAGGCCAAAUCCAACCUAGGUUUCAAAAUCCAGGGUUGGCCAACCGGCCGAUGAAUCUUGGUCAGCAGAUUGGUGGUCAGAUGAUUAACCCCAUGUUCCAUGUAGAUCGUGCACCCCAGAGACACGUGGAAGCAUAUCAGCAGGUGCCAGAUCCGCAACCGCCUCAUCGGCAAGAUGCCGAUGCCUACUGGGCCGAUAAGAUAGCUGAAGUAAUGAGAGACCAAUUUGGGAUAAAGCCCAAAGUCAACACUUACUCUUAUCGGACACCGUAUCCUCCUGCAUACGAUUUAAUUCCACUUCCAAAUCGGUACAAGGUACCAGAUUUCACUAAGUUUUCUGGACAGGAUGAUACAUCGACUAUGGAGCAUGUCAACAGGUUCAUCAUUCAAUGUGGGGAAGCUGCUAACAGAGAUGAAUUAAGGGUUCGUCUGUUUUCAUCAUCUUUGUCUGGAUCGGCUUUUACCUGGUUUAUUUCAUUACCUCCCAACUCAGUAAUUCAUGGGCCGAUCUAGAGAAGCAAUUCCAUAAAUAUUUCUUUUCUGGGGUCCACGAAAAGAAGAUCACCAAUUUAGUCAGGUUAAAGCAACGCAAUGAUGAAUCGGUGGAAAGCUUUGUGCAGAGGUUGCGAGAAGUUAAGAAUAAGUGCUAUAGUCUGGUUCUGGAUGAUCGGCAGCUAGCCAAUUUUGCUUUCCAGGGAUUGUUGACACAUAUCAGAGACAAAUAUGCUUCUCAGGAGUUCGAGAGUCUGAGUCAUUUGGUACAGAGGAUUUCUGACCAAGACAUUAAGCCUUUUGAACCCAAAAGGGCAUGGAAUAAAAAGGUGUCAUUUGUCGAUGAGGCAGCAAGCUCAGAUUCUGACGAGGAACCGGUCAUCGGCUUGGCGGAGUGGGUGAAAAAUAAGAAGCUGAUGUCUUGCCCUUUUGGGCAUAAACAGCCGGAAAAGUUUGCAUUUGACAUCACCAAGGCCGAUAGAAUAUUUGAUUUUUUACUUCAGGAAGGGCAGAUCAAGUUGUCACCCAAUCAUGUGGUUCCAUCGGCUGAAGAGUUAAAAAAGAUGAAAUACUACAAGUGGCACAAUGCGACAUCUCAUAGUACAAAUGAAUGUAAGGUUUUCAGGCAACAGCUGCAAUCGGCUAUAGAGUCUGGGAGGAUCAAAUUUGAUAAUUCUAAAGCUCAGAAGCCGAUGAAGAUCGACCAACAUCCUUUCCCAACAAAUAUUUUCGAUGCUAAGGGAAAAAACAAGGUCUUGACGUUAGAGGCAGCUGAAAGAAGUGCAUCGGUGGAUCCUCAGCAUCAGAUUACUCCUGCUGAUGCCAAAGGAAAGGGUUUGAUCCAAGAAGGAGCUAGCUCAGGAAGGCCUCCCCGAUCUGGCAUUGUGAUAACUCGUAGAAGGCAUCAGGAAACUUGGCAGCAACGUGAAGAUCGGUAUAGGCGCCAACAGGAGGAUUACCAUUGGGAAGAAGAAAGACGCCGACAGGAGUGGAAUCGGCAUAAGGAUCACUGGAAUUGCCCGUUUUUUAUCCACUGUUGGGAACAGAACAUCAAGUUGCCCACUGUUAGGGACUGCCCUGAAUGCAAUGGUUAUGAUCGGUAUGAUAGACCUAAUCGGCAGUAUCAGAACGAUGAUCGGCGAUUUAUUGAGCCGAUUAGGGGAAGAGCCUCAGUUCAUGAUCGGCUGGGGGGCAGGCUCAGAGUGCAUGAUAGACUUGGUGACCGUGUUGAGUACUUUCCCAAGAACCAAGAGGAGCUUGAAGAAAUGGCAAAUGCUCGAGUUCCCGAUGAGUUCAUAUUUUGCAGAGAUGCCAAUACCUAUCGAGUGGAAUCAAGGGAAAGUCGUCGCCCAUCGGCAAGGCAGCCACAGCUUCCUCCAUGGUGUCAAGUAGGAUUGAGUAGGACACAGAAAAGAAGGUUGCAACGCAAAAGAUGAGAAGAGCUAAGCAAAAGCGAGAAUUCUGGCCAAUCUGGAGAUCAGCAGCAACUAGAUCCUAAGGGAAAAGGGCCAUUGGCAGAUGUUAACAUGGUAUUUAUAUUGCCGAUGGAGUUCCUUGCGCCAUCCAGUGAUGAUGAGGAGCUGGAUUUUUCUGACUAGAUAGCUUAGUUGGCUCUGGAUCCAAUGACAGCUAUCUUCGAAAAGCCUGCCGAUAAUGAAAGGUGUUGGGUAUUCUUAACAUCAUUACCAAAAGUAGACGUAGUUUUCUAAUUCUGAUAACGGUGCCAAAAAUACCAAACCUAUCACUCAUACCACUUAAGCCAAGUUGUCAUCCCCAGCAUGACAUGAGAGACACGGUAUUGAAAUAUGCAAUUGCUCUUCUAAAUAAAUAAUGAAUGGGAUCUGCAAGCGCACAGAUUAAUACCGAUGUAGCAUUUUAACCGGGAAGUAUACUAUGUAUCGUUAUUUAUAUUUUUACCACUGGGAAGGGAUUAGCAACCAUCAAUAUUGAUUAUAGAAUAGAAGAUGAGAUUGAGUAUCUAUCAUUGCAUGUAUAAUUGAGAACAUUUAUCUAAUUCUUUCAUACAGGGGUAAGUGUCACAUAAAGGAUAUAAAGUAACCAAUAGUGACAAAGAUAAUUAAUCUGAUCAGCAUAACUUAGCCACAUAUAAAUAUGAUAAGCACCUCAAUUAGAUAUUCGAGAAAGUCAUUAGCAUGGAAUUAGAAUGAACUACAUGAAUAUUUCCUAAGUUAUUCUCAACUAUAUAGUCUAGCAUUAUCAUAGUUAGUGCAAGCAUACUUAGCAAUCAUUGCGAGACAAGACUACGCCCAUACAUAGUAAUAUUAUCAAGAUAAAUGAGAAACAUAGCAAUCACUCCCCUGUAAUAAUGUUGCUCUGCCAGCCUAAUACACGAGAGGGGGACUAUAUAAGUGUCACACCCGGUUUUAAAGAACAAAACUAAGCAAGCCAUAUGUGUGCCCAGAAAGUCCACACAUAUAACAACAGAAAGGAAUAGUAUCAUAAAACAAUGUUAUAUAGCGAAAACAUACAUAUAAUAGACACUUACAUCAGAGUAUCGCGGAAUGAUAACUAAUCUUUAGGCUCAAUCUUCACAGGGACGGUUGAGUGAGGGUAACAUAUGCCUAGCACUUCUUGUAUCCUGAGAACAUCUUUCUUGACUCCAUCCUUCUAAUCAACUCUUUCUAGUGGACUGGAGUGGUGGGAAAUAGCAAGAGUGAGCACAUAUCGUACUCAACAAGUAUAACCAGGGGUUCAUGAGGCUCAAAAAGCUGACACUGGUUUGACUGCAUUUAGCUUUUAAUAGUGGAUAGCAUAUUCAUAAUUAAAUAUCAAUUGUCAAGGUAGCAUAAAUAAUCCAUUAAUCCCAUGAUCAAGUGUAAGCAUAAUUAAUCUCAUAGCAUAAACGAUAAUCAAAUGAACAUAACAACUUAAUAAGCUCAUCGUCGGCGCAGCAAGAACCCCAAGGCCGCUCAUAACCGUGAGCACGGCUAGUAUACUAGUUUUAACACUCUGCAGAGGUUGUACAUCUUUACCCAUGAGUCAUGAUUUACCCUUUCGCCCGAGGUAGCUAAUCUCUUAACCCCCUUCCUAGGGAGGUCGGCAGGGAUCACUAUGAAGCCUUUCAAAAGUUCGUCUAACAUGUUAGGGCCGCAAGGUUUCCUUUGCGAGCAGAUAUAGAUACCCCCUUCCGAAUGGCACAAUAACGCGCAGCCUAUACACAUAGGGACAGGGGCUCGCACUAUACCCGUGUCGGUUCAGCCCCUCCGCCCUUUCGGGUAACCUCUAACAAGCUAGAAAAGGUCUCCAUACUGAGCUAAAGCCAGAGCCAUUAUAGCCCUCAUGGUUGCACUGUUGUCCCGGUGAUCACUUACAGACAAGAUCUCAUAUAGUUAUUUGUCAUCUUCUAACGUUCAUUGCAUAGCUAUUAAUCAUCUUACAAGAUCAUGGAUUAUAUCAAGCACUAGCACAUCUACAACAAAUGCAUAUCAAGUAGGUAGCAAGGAAUACAGGUUACAAUCAUCUAUGAUUUUGCUAAGGUCGACAAGGUGAUAGCAUGCAUAUGACAUAUAUGUGUAGUUAUAAGUGAAUAGGUAACAAGGAUGAUCCCAAGUUAUACUUGCCUUAAACUUGCUCAAAUUCUCACACCAUGAGCCUUCGGUCAUCAUCUUCUGAUCAUCAUCACCCAUAAACGGAUCUCGUCUACUCGUAGCAAGCACCACACAAAGGCAAACAUAUAAACAACAAAUAGAACAACUAAGAACAAUACACCAUAUAAGAUAAAAGAGCGUACUAAAAGAGAAUCAACGCUACAAGAUCGCAAGAAGCACCGGAACAUAGCUUAUCGCUAAAAGAAAUGAUUAACGAUAGUUUUAUAUUAUGAAAGAGAAGUUUACAAAUUUGAUUUAUUUAAGUAAAUAAAAUAAUGUAAAAGUUAUGAAUUCAGAUUAAUGUUAACAUAUUUAUUUUCAAAAGUCAAGUUAAAACUAAUCAUAUUUUAUUUGUACAUAAUUUUAUAUUGUUUAUACCGGUUGAACUUUAACUUGUAAAAUAAUGUAACAUGUGAGCACUAAAAUAAGUUUUAUGGUAUAUAUCAUAAUUAUCUAAACAAGAUAUAAUUAAAGCAUAUUCAAGUUGCUAUUAGCUAAAUUCAUGCUCAUAUAAUUACAAAGGAAACCUAUAUUAUUUUUAAUUAUAAAACUAACUAAAAGCAUAUUAAGCAAUUAAAUAUUUAGCAAUAUACGGAAAACAUGUGACAUGAAAAACACUAGCACUAACACGUAGAUUACAUUGCUAUGAGUCUAACACAACUUGAACGGAUCAAAUCGGAGUUAAAAUAAAUAUUUUAUGGCUAAAACAAACUAGUGUAUUUUCUUUGUAUUUUUGGAUUUAUUUUUCUAAAGAAAAAGGGCAAUCAUGCUUGCUUGACUUCAUGAUGAUGUCAUCAAGCUAUUUGGAAUAGGCACAGCACGCACGGCCGGGCUAAUCUACACUGCUUGUUCGCAUGGAGUUCGACGGAGUAGGGAUUUGGGUCUCGGUUUCACGUGAGAAAAAAAACAAGGAUGUAGAAGGUCCAUGAACUCACCAUACUUUAUGCAGAUAGCGAGGGAUCGGAGGCGGAGUGGAACAGCGACGGCGUGUGGAUCUGGAGGUGGACGGCAGCUUCUGCAGUACCGAGUUCGGCAAAACGACGGCGGCGCCCUUGAUCCAAAGAUCGGCGAGGGAUGGACGACAGCACAGGGGCUCCCCACAGCAGAUACGAUGAUGGCAGCUUUGACCUCGCGUCGGCGAGAUUGGAAACGGCGGCUUGCAUCAUGAUUGAUUGGCCUAGAUUUAGAUUUAAGUGAUAGAAAAGAAACGCUUGCCCAAACUUGCUAUUUAUAGGCUAGCAGAUCAUUGGCUAGGAUGUCGUGGAGAGUUCAAGUGGGACACAAGACGUUGGAUAGCUGAUUCACGUAAAUAGAGUAAAAAUAAGAUUUGUCCAAGGCAUAGAGGCUCAUAGAUAGAUUGAAAUUUGAAGAACCCAAAUAAAUUAUUUAGAGUUCAUAAAAAGAUAUCUAGGAGUAUCUUAAAAAUUAUACUCAGAUUCAAGAGGAAAUAAAUUUUAGGAAAAUGCUGAAGUAAUUCCUGAUAAGUUUCAAUAGUUCGGUUGAUGGAAGAUGUACUCAAAAGAAUGAUUUAGAGUAGAAGAAUAGGAUCCGGAGCAUCUCCAUAUGAAAAGAUUAAGACUGGGAACGUAGAGAUUUGAAUGACUUACUAAACGCAUUCUAAAACUUUACCCACUCAAAACACAGAGUCAAGCAACAAGCAAGCAUCACAUCACAUCACAAAAACCCGUCAAAUUAAAUUGGAAAAAUUUAUGGAUUCACAUAUUUCCUAUAACUAAUUGAUGCUAUUUUCAACUAACUUUGGAAAUUUUAUCAAUUAUCAAAACAUUUAUUUUAAUUAGUGUUUUCUAUGCACAACCCAAAAUUAAAAAAUUUUGGGGUGUGACAAUAAGAAUCAAUGAAGCUGUCACUAUCACAAAGUACCCCACGAUCUGGCAUAUUGGGUACAAUCGCAGAUAAAUACGGUAUAAGCACCACGCCUACACAAUAUCUAUCAUUUAUCUAUGGAUCCGAUGGAUAAACGCUAUACGAUCCUAAACAUGUAUAUAGAUCCAAUCUAACUAAGCCAAGUAUAUAACUAUGAUAAACUAAGAACAAUAUAAUCUUGAAUAUAAGCAAGUAGAGCAAAGUCAUAAGCAAUAUAUUAAAGUAGAACAAAGUCAUAUUCAUAAUAUUGAAGAACAAAGAUGAACAAUUAGAAGAACAAUUAGAGAAUUACCAAGAAUCCUCUUGACAGAUCCGGAAACAAAUCGAAGAUUGACUCCUUCUAGUUCUAAUCCAAUGUAGCUAUGCUAAUCUAGAUGUCUAAUUGAUGUGGUGGCUCUAAUCUUGAUCAGAGGCUUCUUCUCCCUUGAGGAAUAAUGAAUUAGGGUUGAGAGGCUCUCUCCUCCAGGGGCCAGGGGGUCUGGUUUUAUAGUCCAUUCAAGUGAAUAUGGGCUAUUGGAUCAAACCGACAUUGAUUGAAUGGUUAUCCAUGAUCCUUUAGGUCGGUGGAGAUCUUUCUCGAAACAGUGUCCUCACUGGAGUCCAACAAGGGGCGGGCGCCCAGGUCAACUGGGCGGGCGCCCAGUGCCUGGCUCCGUUCGGCCUCCGCUUCCUUCCCGUGGCUUUUGGAGUCUUCUUGAUGUAAGAUAAUUGGGCGGCACGUUAAUAUCUCUAUGUAAUCCCGAUGUGUGGGCCUUUCUUCCAUAUUUCCUGAUAACCCCCUACAAAAAUAGACAAACACCAAAACUCGUAGAAUUCUGUCAGAUAAAACCCUAAGUUUGGAUGUUGAUUGCAUUUGGAUCCUUUUCUUUGUUUAUUUGUUAAUUAAAUUUGAUACUUAAGGACCAUCAACAAACUCCCCCAAGCUUACCUCUUGCUCGUCCCUGAGCAAGGAUAAUCUCAGCGAUGGAUCAGAAGUUGUUGUAAUGCCUUUAAAAGUAGAUGGUACUCAUGCUUUUAAAUAAGAUCUCAUCUCUGAGUUAGAGUAAACUGUCAAGAAUUAAAACUUAUUUACUUUACCUUUCACCAUGGGAUUUGUAACCAUUACUUCUGUCUUGAGUAGUUAAAAGAUAGAACAGUCUAGUCAAGUGCCAUGUCUCUUAUUCUUGAUCAGCUAUAGCUCUGGAGUUUUUGCAAAUUUUCAAAUAAAACUCAGAGAUUUCUUGUAUGAUUCUCUCAUAUCUCUCUUUUGUGGUAUUUCUAGAUCCUUACCAAGACAGUGAUGGUAUAUGCCUUUUCUCUCAAAGUAUGUAGUAUUUGUGGUAUAAGGCAUAGUGAUAUUGUCUUCUCUCUCAUCCUACUCUAAUAAGGCUUUUGAUAUCUAGAGCUUAUAGGUGGGAGAUAAAAUAUACAUACUUACAAGACAUUUAUUGUAUAGUCAAACCAUGGAUCCAAAGAAACAAAUCAAUAAGUCAAAUCAAGAUGUGCAUGUGUGGCGAAUGAAUGGCAUAUAGUGAUGAUGAUAACAAUGGUGAAAGUCUAAUUCUACUUUUUCUCUUUGAGGGGAUACAUACCUUUCUUGCUCUUUUGAACUUUUUGAGGAGAAUGAGAUGCUCUAUAUUUCAUUUUUCUUUCCUCUUAGGUGGGUAUCUUGUACCCCUAAUUCUACCAUCGGACACUUGUCCAUUUUUACCUAUCGUCUCACUUUUUCUUUUCUUUCGAGGUUCCGGGCGCUUGCCCCUUUUUAUUUCCUCGUAUCUUUUUUCCCUUUUUUUAGAGCACUCAUCUCUUGAGAUAAUAUAGCAAGUGGUAGUAACAAGAUAACUUGAGCAUUUAUUUCACGGGGGAAAACAAAAAUAUUUUUGGCCAUUCUCUCCCGGAUUAGGAGUAGAAUGUUUUUGGGUGGUUCUGGAGAUAAAAAUGAGUGGAUAUAUGUGGAUGGUACUUCUGGAGUAGAAGCGGCAUGUGUGAGUGAACGUGCAAGUGAAUCUUGAUUUAACCACAUGACAAGCUCCUAAGGGUCUACACAGCUUGACCACACUCAAUGCUUAUAAGCAGUAAAAAGUAAAUGUGUGGCUCAAAGUCUAGCA
rnacentral:lncRNA from 1 species